rnacentral:lncRNA from 1 species
AAUACUGUUUGUUAUAUAUGGCCAUAUAUCCAGAAUAUCACUUGAUAAAGUGUGACUCCUUGAUUCGCCUAUGGAUAAUGGAAGGUUUUGUGAACGAAGAAAAAGAAGGAUGGACAGUGGAACAAGUUGCUCAAGACUACCUAAAGGAGCUUGCCAAAAAAAACUUGGUCGAAGUGGUGAAGGCUAAAGAGAAUGGAAGCAUAAAAUCUUGCCGCAUAAAUUACUUUAUCAGGGAGAAUCUUCUGAAUAAAGCAAAACGUCAAAAUUUUUUUAUGACAGUCGGCAAAAAUUCCAAUGGUCAAUGGAACAGCAAAGCUCGUCGCUUAUCAAUCAAUGGCCGUUGGGAAAACUUUAAUCCUCAAAUGUCUGGUAAAAAACUCCGUUCUUUGCUUGCAUUUGAUGUGACUGAUUCGUCAUCAAUACUUGAGCUACUUAAGAGUUGUAUGAUGCUUAAAGUUUUAGACCUGUCAGGAUUACCUCUAAAAUCAUUCCCAAAGGUGAUCACCGAGCUCCUACUUUUGAAAUAUCUAUCUUUGAGGCAUACAGAAAUUGAAUCACUUCCAAGGUCAAUCAAGAAGCUUCAAGAACUAGAGACGUUAGAUCUUAAACAUUCACUUGUCACUGAGUUGCCCGUUGAGAUCUUACAACUCCGAAAACUGAGACAUCUCAUAAUAUGUCGCUAUGGAUGCUGUGAUGUACAUUCAGAUGUUCAGAUCAACAACGUUCUUGGUUUCAAGCUACCAAAUGGAAUUGGAUCUCUAAAGUCUUUAUACGAACUCUCUUUAGUCGAGGCAAUCCCCGGCACAAUAAUAGAGAUAGGGAACAUAAAGGAACUAAGAAGGCUUUUCAUAUUCAAAUUGGGAAGAGAGGAUGGAAUGGUGGUCUGUUCAUCCAUUGAAAAGCUCCAAAAUCUUCAAUCGUUAGCCUUGUUUUCAAAGGCAGAAAAUGAGAUCCUUGACCUGGAUCACAUUUCAUCCCCUCCUGCAUCCCUUCAGGAGCUCUCUAUGUCAGGACGUUUAGAAAAAUUUCCGCAUUGGAUAAAAUCUCUCAACAACUUGGUUAAACUUUAUUUUAGGUGGAGUCGGUUAAGAGAUGAUCCACUCCAAUAUCUCCAAGAUUUGCCAAGCUUAGUCCGUCUUGAACUUCAUGAUGGAUACGUUGGUGAAGAACUAUGUUUCAAGGCGGGAAAGUUUCAAAGUCUUAAAAGGUUAUAUCUUGACAAGUUGAAGCCUCUGAAACAGGUGGUAAUUGAGGAGGGAGCAAUGCCAAAUCUGAAAAGAAUGAAGAUUCAGCGGUGCAAAUAUCUGGAAAGUGUUCCAUGUGGAAUUGAACGCCUUACCAAGAUGAAAGUUCUUAAACUUUUCUACAUGAGCCAACAGUUUAUUGAGAAAUUGACUGCUGAAUAUUCCCAUAAAAUUGCACACAUUCCUAAAUUACAGUUUUGGGAAAAAGAUGCAUUGGAAACAGAUGAAGAUUGAGUUUUUAAUUAUCUUUGCGUUAGUAUUUUAUUCAGAUUUUAAUUUUCUUUAUUUCGGAAUAAUUCUGAACAUUAGGAAUUUUAAUUUCGCCCCUACCUUUAAAUUUUCAUAAUUAUCUAGAUUUAGCGUUGAUCAAAAUAAAGGUUGUAAGCUUUAAUUGCAAGUAGUGGUUUUCGAAUAAAUAUUAUAGCGAUUGAAAAUUUUUAAUCUCUUAAAUUCUUGGUAUUUGAUGCUUAAAAUCAAUGAGUCCAGUUUCUCCGUAUUCAUGCACAAAUCAGAGAGUUUUGAUGCCUAAAUUUCUAGCAUUGUUAGGAAUCAAUAGAAAUUAGAAGCUGAUUUUGUUGCAAUAAUUAUUUGAAAUCAGCGAAACUUGUUGCUUCCGCCCUACAUCAUAAACUCAUACAUUAGAGACCAAGCAUGAAAUUAGUACCCAUAAUCGGCUUCUAAUGAAACUCAUCCAAUUUAUUUUAACUUAGAAUCAAUUGUAGAACGGACUCUAGUUCAUCAAAACACUGCACAAUAUACUACAAUGGCUAAAUAUGUGAUUGAGAAUGUGUAUUUGCGAUGUUGAAAUAAAGUGUACUUCAGUUAUAGUUUUGCGUAGAGAUUUAAUUACUUUGGCAAUUUUUUUCACAAUUUUUGUUAUUCUUCAAUAAUGCAUCUCUAGCUAUGUUCUUCUUAUUUAACUAAUAUUUGUUAUACAAAGAUAAAUUUUAUUAAAAUGCAAUAAAGGAUCUUUAACUUGUAUUCCAUUUUGAUGCUCAACCUCCAAAACGGAGCAUCUAAGUUUAGUAUUUUUGUGGACCAGGCUCAAGCAUACUCAACUGAACUUGUAAUCAUAAAUUUUAAUGCAAAUAAUGUCUUUAUUAACGCAUAUUUGACAAGAUGAUCCAUUCUCUAAAAGAUGAGUUGAUUUAAAAUGUUUUGGAUUUUAUUGUUCAUUUGUUAGAUUUUGCUGUAAUUAAUCAAUGUGUAUUGUCUCCAUCAUCGUGUGGUAUGAGUUCUACCAUGUCACAUUAUCUUCCCACUCACUUGAACACCGACUUACUUGACGAGUUAGGGAAACCUACAAAGGUUAAUUCUAAAGGACUAACUAACUUCAUACUAGAUGUGAUAGGAGAAUUCAAAGAUAUGCUCUAAGAUUGAUGCAUCAGUAUUUGAUCAUGGUGAUGUGAUGAAACUUGUUGCUUGUACUCUAUUUGGGUCUCAAGGUAUAAAUUUCCAGUUGUUGUUAAAUGGAAAGGCGACACCAACGUGUUUCUCUUGGGUAAUCAAUCCCAGCUAAAUCACAAUUCGGGAAGCUUUCUGAGAAGACUACUCAAGUAGUUGUAUAUAAUUGUGGAAAAGAGAGCCAAAUUUAUUUGGAUGGUUAUGCAUCAGUGGACUCCCCGAAUGUAUUGUUUUCGUUGCGAAGAAUUGGGUGAAGGGUGAUCCAAGAUUCGAGGACGUAUCUAUUGGAAAAUUAUAUUCGUGUUUUCUCCCAUGAGAAUAUUGAAAUCAUAUAUUUACUUGUCAAAAAAUGAUGUUUGGGUGAAUAAAAAAUUUGAGUUCUAAUUGGACCCAAUUGGACGAUGUGUUGGAGAAAAAACUAUCAUAGUUUGUUCUAAAUAGGAAAAAUAAAUAAGGCAAAGACUAAUUUAUAUAUGGUUACAUUAAUUAUAAACAAUGUACAGACUUUCUUUAUAUGCAUGGGCUAGGAGAUGCAAAUCAAGAACUGGAUUACCACCUCUCUUCAUUAAAAUUGUGUGUGAGCGCGACCUAUAUGUUAAGACUUAAGGUUCUAUCUUAAAAUGUUAACCUUGUUAAAAGAAGUAUCCCAAUACAUUAUAAGUUGGUUUAUAUUUUUAUCUUUAUUCGAUGUGGAAUUAUAUCCUUAACAUGCCCCCGCAAGAUGUUGGCUCGUUUGAGCAGACCAAUCUUGAAAUUCGUUUGCUCAUUUAUUGAGUCUUAAUCAGAUUGAAUCGUUCAUUUGAACUUAAAGAGCUUUAAUACCAUGUUAAGAUUUGGAGUUCCAUUUUAGAAGGUCAACCUUGUUAAGAGGAAUAGCCCAAUGCCUCAUAAGUUGGUCUAUAUUUUCAUCUUUAUUCGAUAUGAGAUUAUAUCAUUUUACACUAUAUACAUGAAUUUUGAACCUUUGGUUGACCCUUAAGAAAGGCCCACAUUUUGCCUUUAAUUCUAUAUUUGUUUUUAAUUUUUCUCCAACUAAAUUUUCAACUUCUAAAACUCUUUUAUUUAAUGGUCUAUGUUAAUGGAGAAGUUACAUAGUCAGGUUCAUGGUGAUGUGUUAAUAAUAGUAACGCACAUAACAAUUGAGCAGUUAAGCAACUUAUUCUUAGAACCUAUAACAUCAAUAGAAUUUUUUCACUGACAAAAUUUCCUUCUUUGUCUUCUAUUUUUUGUGUACCAAAUAUUUUCUAGUCUAUAUCCCUAAAUUCUCGAGAGAGAUAUUCACCACCUUAAUCUAAUCAUGUCUUAAUACUCUUACCUAAAUGUUUCUCGACAUUGGUCUGUUACUUUUUGAAUUUUUUAAAAGCAUCUGAUUUUCGAGCCAUUAGGUAGAUGAAUUCAAAUUUAGAAUAAUUAUCUAUAAAGGCGAUAAAAUACUCAUAGCCCCUUCUUGCAGGUGUAUUCACAGGUUCAUAUACAUCAGAAUGAAUUAGUUAUAAUACUUCUUUAGCUCUUUCUCCUUUUGCUAAAAAGGGUCUCUUUGUCAUUUUACCUUCAAAACAAGAAUCACAAACUGAUAAUGGUUCAAUCUUAAGUGUGUUCAAUGGACCAUCUAUAGCCAAUCGUUGUAUCUUGUUAAGGUUAAUAUGACGAAAUCUAAGAUGUCAUAGAUAUGUGUUACUAGUAUGGUAUGACUUUUUUUUAUGGUUUGCAGAAGUAACUGUUUAUUUUAUUUGUGGAACAAUUUAAAAUAUAAAAGCCAUUCACCAAAUAUUCAGCACAAAUAAGAACUUCGUUCUUUAAAAUAUAAAGCACAUCAUGUGCAGAAUUUACAGAAUAACAUUGUCCUAUUGUCAGUCAAAUUCCACUUCAUUCGCGGGACAUAAUAACAGUCUCUAAGAACUAAAUAUCACUGCUACUGAAACAAAAGUAAAUUACUCUUAUAAUUCUCAUUGAAACUAUAGAUCCUGUGUCGAUGAUAAUUUUAAAUUGGCCCUCAUUAAGUCUUUUGCUCUCUUGAAUCACAUGUAUAAACAUACAUAUAUAAUUAGUGGUUCCAGAGUCUACAACUUAGGAAUUUGUAGAAUUAACCACUAAAUAUGUCUCAACAAUACAAAAAUCACCAGCACCCUGCUUUUUAGCCAAUGCAUCAUAAGAGUCUUUCUUUUAGUGUCAUUUGUGACCACAGUGGAAACAAUUGCCUCUCGGCAUUCCAUCUAAUUUGGGCUUUUUGUUGCUACUUGACUUCUUGUUAGGUAUCUUCCCAUUUUUUCCAACUCUGCCUUUUUGCUUGGAACUAGAGGAGCUAGCAAUUGCUGAAUGAGCGUGGCUACCUUUAUCAUUAAGACUAGUUCCACAUUUUACAACUCAUUCAUCAACUUAAUCAAUGCUAAUUCAUCUUGGGGUAUAAGGAGGGCGUGCUACCGGUACGUUAUCUUGGUGUUCCGCUUAUCUCUACCAAAUUGAGGGCUUUGGAUUGUAAGAUGUUGGUGGAUCGUAUUAUAGCUAGGGCUAAGAGUUGGACCUGUCGAGCGCUCUCCUAUGCAGGGAGGUUACAACUUAUUAAGUCGGUGUUAUUUUCUAUUCAGGUCUACUGGUCCUCUGUAUUUCUUUUACAUAAGGCUGUGAUCAAGCAAGUGGAAAAUUCAUUGCGGGCCUUCUUGUGGAAGGGUAGUGACCUUGGUACCGGUGGGGCUAAAGUGGCUUGGGCAAAAAUCUGUAUGCCUAAGGAGGAGGGUGGUUUGGGUCUGUGGGGCUUGGAGAUUUGGAAUAAGGCUGCCAUGUUAAAGCAUCUUUGGUCCUUUUGUAUGGAUUCUGCCUCCUCUCUUUGGGUUUCGUGGACAAGAUUUAUUUACUUAGAGGAUGGAGCAUUUGGGAAUUGAAAUGUCCUGGGGAUUGCUCUUGGAAUUGGAGGAAAAUUCUUGGACUCCGGGAUAUAGGGAGGGACAAAAUGAAAUUCAAAAUUGGGAAUGGUAGAAGUGCCUCACUUUGGUUUGAUAAUUGGCAUCCUCUUGGCCCUUUAGAAAAGAUUCUUGGAGAGAGGUUCAUUCGUGAAUCCAGAUUGAGUAGACCUGCUAAGGUGGCUGAUAUUGUUGAGGGUGAUACUUGGAGAUGGCCAUCAGUUCGCUCCCCAGCUUUGUCUGAUUUGAUGCGAGCUAUGCUUGAUACUUUUCGGCCGGACAGUAAUAGAGAGGAUGUAUUGCGAUGGGAGGAUGAUGUACAUGGAGUCUUCUCUGUUCGGAGUGCUUGGGAGUCUCUUCGACUGCGCUACCCUAGGGUGACUUGGUAUCACAUUGUAUGGUUCCCUAAAUGUAUUCCAAGACAUGCAUUUAUCCUUUGGUUAGCAAUUCAAGGUGGCAUCUAUACACAAACAAAGUUUCUUAGCUUUGGUUUGAUUCAAUCUAUGCGUUGUGUGCUAUGUGGAUGUUCAGUGUAGGAUUUGGAUCAUCUUUUCUUUGCAUGCCCAUUUUCUGAGCGUGUUUGGAAUGCUCUGCAUGUGAAAUGUAACUUGCCAUGGGUUCAAUGGAGUUGGCUUGAUUCUCUCUCUUGGAUGGAACAAUUUCGUGGGAGGUCAUUGUCCUCUAUCGUUAUCCGGUUAAUGUUUGCGGCUUCGAUUUAUGCUAUUUGGCGUGAACGUAAUGCUAGGAUCCAUGGGAGGCUCCUAAAAAUGAGUCUAUUGUUAUUCAAGAUAUUGUUUUUACUAUUUGUGCACGAGUGAACUUGUACAGUAGCUUGGUUCCAUCUAGUGAAAAUAGAUGGCUCCAACGCUCUUGGGGAUUUUUUACAGAUAUUUUUUGUUCUCGUGAUUAGGAUAUGAGCACUUUCUUGAAUUUUGCUAUUGUUGUUAGGAAGACAUUAAUUCCUAGCAUUGUUUUAUGGGGUUUGCCCCUGUGAUUUGUACUUAUUUUUAUACUUUGGAUAUAAUGCACUUACCUUAUCCAAAAAAAAACAUAUCAAUUUGUGUUUCUUGAUCAAUGGUUACACCCAGCUUCUUCGUCACGUUGAAAUAUGCAAUCAUAGUUAGCAUAUAAUUCUUCAUAGGUGUUCUGAUUUUCAUGCUGAUAAUUUGUAAGUUAUGAACAACCUUAAAACGAGCCGUCCUACUUUGGUGUCCAAACAUGCCCUUCAAGCGUUCUUGUAUGCCAUAAUAGGUCACCUGAUAUUCAAGCUUUUGUUAUAACACAUUUGACUUUGAUGCCAAAAUGUAACGAUGCUCCAUCUUGUCUGUUAUGAUCCAUUUAUCAUAUGCAACCCUCUUGGACUUGCCUAUUGGCUUACUAGGUUCCUCAGGACAUUUGUCUUGAAAAACAUAAUCAAGUUUUUAGGCAAUAAGCACAAACAUCAAAUAUGUUUUAUUUUAGAAAAAAAGAUGUGCUUGGAGACAUUUUGCUGAAAAAUAAACAUUCACUGUAUAUUAAAACUGUGCAACAAAUAAAAAUUUAGCAUAUGAUGUGUGAAUGCAUAUGUAGAUCAAUCUAAUUACAAUAAUGCAACGACAACUUACUCCUUGUGAUUCAACAAGCCCCUCCAUUGGGAAAGGUCACGAUAUCCACUAGUAAAACUGAGAUCAUCCCACUAGAUAAAUUAUACCUAACAACAAAUGUCUAUAUUAAGUCUAAAAUCAUUUUGUUUGGUCACCAAAAUCAUAAACGAGAGUAUCUAUUGGAGGUUUGUAGAUAAUUUUUGAUUUGAGUUAUAACCUUUGUCUAGAUCUUUAGAUACCUUAACUUAAUUUUGUCAUCUAUAGGGUAUUACAAAUUAUAUUCUGUCUAGACGAUAUUACCAUGAAGGAAUUCAAUCAAGCAAUUCGAAUUAUGUGGCCUUCUUAUAAGAAGUAUGUUGCAUUAUCGAUAAGAGAAAAUUGUGUUCUUUUGCUUAUGGAUUGAUCAAAGGAGACUAUAUUUUCAUUUAAAUAAACACCCCAUCUUAUUCAAUAAUUUAAUAUAAUGAAUUUUAAUUUUAAAUAAUUAUUAGUUGUUCACAUUAAUCAGAUUAACAUACAAUUUCAUUAUUACUAUUUUUUCAUUCAAAAAAGUUUAAUCUAAAUUAAAUUAAUCGAGAAAAAAAUUAUGUUCAAUGAUAUGUAUCAAGACCAAACUUUGGUAAUAUAUAAGAUCACAGAAAUCAAUAAAUCUAUAAUACUUUCCUCUCACCCGUCGUAUAUGUAUUUUAUCCCCGUGUUAGAUUCGAUAAUUUGGUACGUGUAUAAAUGAUCGUUUUGCUAUUCUAAUUAUUUUCACUAAUUUAAGAAUCAUUUUCUUCAACAAUCAAAUGAACCAAUUACAAAUGUCAAAAUUUAGCCGUCACAAAAUACUGAGCUUAAAUUUUAACCACUCAACGGAAAGAUUUAAGUUGUCCCUCUAUCCAAUCUUCAAGGUGACGGUUCUCACCACGACUUCAUGUUCUCUAUUUCGCACACUCUUAAGCUCCCAAUUUACCUUGAUAUUUGAUCAAUUAAAUUGAAAUCACCCAUUGGUGAGUCAAAGAACUAUUAAAGUCACGAAAAAGUAUAUAUAACCAUAUCAAUGGAUUUACAUGAAAUCACGACGAUCAAAUGAAAUUUAAUUCUCUGCAUGAUCAUGCUAUAAAACUAAAUUCGACACAUAGCCUGUUCAAUAAACUUUAAGUGUACUAGUGUCACCUUUAAUUAUUUACGGGAUAAGAACAAAUCAUAAUCUCAAAUAGUGAAUUGAUCAACACUACAACCUUCUAGUACAAAGUGCCAACCUUGUAUAAGUUGUGUCAUAUUGUACUUCUCAAUACAAGUAACAAAUUUAUAUUAUCAUAAAUACUUUAAUUAGCAUGUUUAAUAAUAAAUAAAUGAAAUAAUCACAAUUUUAUUUAUAUAAGAAUAUUGUUAUUUUUUACACAAACAAAACUAUACUGUAUGGGCACACAACCAACAAGAUGAUAAUGGUAGGUGCAGGUCGGGCCUGUUAAAGUUUUUGUUGGGCUGGAAUUUGUUAGGUUAGAUCUGUUGUAAUGGAGGUGUGUGUAUAGAGCUGUUUGGUUUGUGGGCAUCGAUUUUGUUGGGUAAAUAUGGGAUGUGGUUAAUGGGCUGGGAUUAUAUUAGGUUAAUUACGGGCUUGGCUGAAAAUCUGUUUUGAUUUGUAGCGGUAACAAGUAAUGCAGUAAUUCUGUAAUUGAAUUUCUGGAAUUUCUUUUUGAAAGAACUAGAAAUGAUAAACUGCAAUUUAAUAUAAAGAAUUAGUUUUUAAUGUCAUAUUAUGCUUAUCAUAUGAUGGAUAGUCAAUCUAUAUUUGUGGGAGAAACAGUAGAGGAAAUCCUAAUUUUAUGAUAACUCAAAUUCCUUAGUUGAAAUUCACAAGGACCCAAAUUCUUAAACUGUACUUAAUGAAAUUUUUGGUGCAAGGCUAGUCCUGGAGGGGGCUUCUUGCCCCCCUUCCAAGCCCACGACGACAUCACUGCAGAGAUCAAUCCAUAUACUGGCUUCACUGAACAACAAUAAUUAAGCUUCAAAACUUAAUAAUGCUAAUUGGUAAACCCCCUUAGCUAUAGAAGGUUCAAAAGGAGUCCAUAGACAAGGUGGUAAGAGUUGUUCAAUAAUAGGUCGAUCAGCUAUCAGAUAUACCAUUGAUGAGUCAGUCGAAUAGCUAAGAAAUUUGUUUGAGCCAUCAUUUUUCUUUACGCAACAGUUGCAACAACCGUGAAGACCCCAGAUCCUAUUUUUGUUCUGCAUUUUAGUAGCAUAGCAAAGCGUCGCUCUAUAUAUAGGGGUUGGAUCCCACAAGUAUAACUCUUCACCAACCCUUCAAUUUUUUCCAGCAUUAUAGAUCCUCUCCUCCAAUAGUGGUUUCUCUCACCAAAUGGCAACGAGGGAGAUAGGCCCGCCACUUUCGCAGGUGUUACGGCCGUCUAGCAACAUCAUCAGCAUGGUAGGCAAUUUAAUAACAGCAUCCUAAUGUUAUUUGAUCGGUCAUAUUAUUGGGGAUGAUUAUCAUUUCUCCAUGUUCUUAACUAUUCCUGCCCUAGAACUAUUGGUCUACGUGCCUUUGUUUGAGCCACAUUCUAGGAAAAAAUGCAUUAUUUAUGUCAAAUCAAUGUGAAAUGUGUGGUUAAAAAAUAAGAAAAAAAUUUAAAUUUGCGUGUAAUAUUAUUUUAUUGGAAAAUGUGUGGUUGAAAUGAUGUUAAAUCAUUGUUGAAAAAUGUAUUUUUUUUAAAAAUAAUGUGGCUCAAACAAACUAUAUUCAAUAAGAAAAGUGUAUGAGGUGCCAUUCAGAAUCUAAAAAUUAAAAUUUAGUAAUUUAUGCUGUUUUGAUUAGGAAUCAUGAGUUGUUUAAUUUAAACCUAUGCAAAGUUUUAUAUCUAGUGCUUUUUUUCCUUUAUUUGCAUCUAUUCUAAGCAAAUUUUCACUUUUUGUUAAAGUUAUACUCAAAGUCUGUGGUAGGGUACACGGGAAUACUUAAAAAUGAACUAAUUUUUCAAUUUUUAUUCCAAGCAAAUCUUCACUUUUGGUCUAAGUUAUACUUAAAUUCUAUGAUACGAUAUACAAGAAUACUUUAAAGUGUUAUGCUAAUAUUUAAUUGGCGUUUAUUCUAAGCAAAUCUUCACCUUUGUAUAAAGUUAUUCUUAAAUUCUAUUGUAUGGUAUAUGAGAAUAUUUUAAAUGAAAUGCUAAUUCCAAAUGCCACCACUUUCGAAUUUCUAAAUCUUCACUAUGCAUUAUUUGAUUGCUUUUAAUUAACCAAAUACUGUCUUUAAUUUCUUGGGUACCAGAUUCUAAGAAAUAUUUAAAGAACAUCUUUAAUCUUUAUGGAUUACUCUUGUCUCCUUAAUGUGAUACAAGGUUUCGAUGCCAAGGGAAUCAUCAAAUAAUUGCAUUCCUGCCAUCUCUACUGACUUGAUGAAGUUUAUAAAUGCUGUGAGGACCAUCAAUCUGCUAGCAUAACUUGCAAACUAGAAAAUUUGAUAAAAAGACGUGAAAUGGCCGACGUGGUAAUUUCUUUUGCUGUACAAUGCAUCAUACCAAUACUACAGGAAAAGCUGAGAGAGGCGGGAGAAGUUGAGACCGAUGUGGAUAACAUCAGAGAUGAGUUGAAUCGAAUGAUGGCAUUUCUCAAAGAUGCGGAUAGUGCAGUGGAUAAUAGUGACACAGGGAUGAUAAAUUGGGUCAACCAAGUUCGCGAUGUUGCACAGGACACUGAGGAUGUUCUCGACAAAUUUGUACUCGGCUUGAAGAAGAAUCGACAGGGCAGUGGGUGGUCCAAUCCCGUUCUUCCUAACUUUUUAAAUUGCAUCGUAAAUUUAAGAUUCUUUUCUAGGAUUGUUUCUGAAAUACAAAGCAUUAAUUCUCGUGUCAUCAGUAUUGCAGAAGGGCAUCGGAGAUAUUUUGACACUGCAGGAAGUUCAAAUUCAAAUUCAAAUGUUGACACCAGCCUUGACCUUGCAUAUGAUAUUAGAGGUGAUGCCCUUUUGGAAGAAGAAGUAAAUCUUGUAGGAAUUGAGGGCCCCAAAAGCGAGUUAACGAGAUUGCUCUGGGAAAAAGGUUCCGGACUGAGUGUAAUUUCAGUGGUAGGACCAGGAGGUGUGGGGAAAUCAGCUCUUGUUAGGAAAGUAUAUGAUGAUGCAGCAGUGAAGAAGCAAUUCAAAAGUCACGCUUGGAUAAUUGUCCCUCGGUUAUUCGAUAUAGAGGAUAUCCUAAAGGACUUGAUUCAGCAACUCUUUCGAGAAACCAAGGAAGCAUUCCCUGAAGAAAUGAACACCAUGAAUAAUAUUCAGCUGAAGGAACUGAUUAGACUAUUCUUACGAGAAAAAAGGUAUGUGAUUGUUUUUGAUGAUGUACGGGGCAUCGAAUUAUGGAAGGCUAUUAAACGUGCGUUUCCUGACUAUUCUUGUGGUAGUCGAUUAAUUGUAACAACACGUAAUACUGAUGUGGCUCUCUAUUCUGCUAUGCGAAAUAAGGAGAAUGUAUAUACUUUGAAGCCCCUUCCUCCAGAGCAUUCUUUGACACUAUUUUGUCAAAAGACGUUUCGAGGGAGUCCUUGUCCUUCCCAUCUGGAGGAAAUUACUAAUAAUAUCUUAAAGAGAUGCGCAGGGCUGCCGAUCGCUAUCAAGUCUGUUGGUGGAAUUCUGGCUUCAAAGAGCCGCAGAUUGGACGAAUGGGAGAGGGUUUAUAAGAGUCUUGGAGCUGAACUGGAAAGAGAAAAUAGGAAUUUGAAUAUGAUCUUGUUGCUUAGCUUCAAUGAUUUGCCUUACCAUCUAAAAUACUGUUUGUUAUAUAUGGCCAUAUAUCCAGAAUAUCACUUGAUAAAGUGUAACUCCUUGAUUCGCCUAUGGAUAGUGGAAGGUUUCGUGAAUGAAGAAAAAGAAGGAUGGACAGUGGAACAAGUUGCCCAAGACUACCUAAAGGAGCUUGCUAAAAAAAACUUGAUCGAAGUGGUGAAGGCUAAAGAGAAUGGAAGCAUAAAAUCUUGCCGCAUAAAUUACUUUCUCAGGGAGAAUCUUCUAAAUAAAGCAAAACGUCAAAAUUUUUUGAUGAAAGUCGGCAAAAAUUCCAGUGGUCAAUGGAAUAGCAAAGCUCGUCGCUUAUCAAUCGAUGGCCCUUGGGAAAACUUUAAUCCUCAAAUAUCUGGCAAAAAACUUCGUUCUUUGCUUACAUUUGAUGUGACUGAUUCGUCUUCAAUACUUGAACUACUUAACAGUUGUAUGAUGCUUAAAGUUCUAGACCUGUCAGGAUUACCUCUAAAAUCAUUUCCAGAGGUAAUCACCAAGCUCCUACUUUUGAAAUAUCUAUCUUUGAGGCAUACAGAAAUUGGAUCACUUCCAAGAUCAAUCAAGAAGCUUCAAGAACUAGAGACGUUAGAUCUUAAACACUCACUUGUCACUGAGUUGCCUGUUGAGAUCUUAGAACUCCGAAAACUGAGACAUCUCAUAAUAUGUCGCUAUGUAUGCUCUGCUGCACAUUCAGAUGUUCAAAUCAACGUUCUUGGUUUCAAGCUACCAAAUGGAAUUGGAGCUCUAAAGUCUUUAUACCAACUCUCUUUUGUUGAGGCAAUCCCUGGCACAAUAAUAGAGAUAGGGAACAUGAAGGAAUUGAGAAGGCUUUUCAUAUUCAAAUUGGGAAGAGAGGAUGGAAUGAUGGUUUGUUCAUCCAUUGUAAAGCUCCAAAAUCUUCAAUCAUUAGCCUUGUUUUCAAAGGCAGAAAAUGAGAUCCUUGACCUGGAUCACAUUUCAUCCCCUCCUGCAUCCCUUCAAGAGCUCUCUGUGUCAGGACGUUUAGAAAAAUUUCCGUAUUGGAUAAAAUCUCUCAACAACUUGGUUAAAGUUUAUUUCAGGUGGAGUCGGUUAAGCGAUGAUCCCCUUCAGUAUCUCCAAGAUUUGCCAAGCUUAGUCCGUCUUGAACUUCUUGAUGGAUAUGUUGGUGAAGAACUGUGUUUCAAGGCGGGAAAGUUUCAAAGUCUCAAAAGAUUAUGUCUUGACACGUUUGAAUCUUUGAAACAGGUUAUAAUUGAGGAGGAAGCAAUGCCAAAACUGAAAAGGAUAAAGAUUCAGCGGUGCCAAUAUCUGAAAAGUGUUCCAUCUGGAAUUGAAUGCCUUGACAAGAUGAAAGUUCUUAAACUUUACUACAUGAGCCCACAGUUUAUUGAGAAACUGACUGUUGAAGAUUUCCAUAAAAUUGCACACAUUCCUAAAGUACGUUUUUGGAAGAAUGACGUCACGGAAAUGGAUGAAGAUUGAGUUCUUAAUUAUCUUUUAGUUAGUGUUUUACUAAAUAACAUCAGAUUUUAAUUCCGUUUAUAUCGGAUUAAUUCUGAAUAUUAGGAAUUUUAAUUAUCUAGAUUUAGUCUCUCUAAAGAUUUUGGUUUUUAUCUAGUUUUUUUGGUUAUUGCUUUAAAUAAGGAUUGUAAGUCUUAAUGGCAGAAAGUGGAUUCCGAAUAAAUAUUUUAGAGUUUGGAAUUUUUCAACCUCUUAAUUCGUGGUAUUUGAUAUUAAAAUCAAGGCGUCCAAUUUCUCCAUAUUCAUGUCGAAGUCAAAGAGCUUUGAAGCCUAGAUUUCUACCAUUUUUAGGAAUCAACGAAAAUUAAAAGGUGGUUGUGCUGCUGGAUUCAUUUGGAAUCAAUGGAACGUCGAUAGCAUGUUCACAUAUUAUUUCAAUCGCUUUCGUCCAAAAUCAGAAUUUCAUCUAUUAGAGACCGAGCAUCAAAUUAGUACCCAUAAUCGGCUUCUAAUGAAACUCAUUCAAUUUGUUUUAACUUAGAAUCUAUUGUAGAAUGGCCUUUAGUUCAUCAAAGCACUGCACAAUAUACUACAGCGGCUGAAUAUACGAUUUGAGACUGUAUUUACGAUGUUGAAAUAAAAUGUACUUCAGUUGUAGUUUUGCAAAGAUGAUUUAAUUAUUUUGGUGAUUUUUUUUUUUUUUCACAAUUUUUGUUAAUCAAUAAUGCAUCUCUAGCUAGGUUCUUCUUAUUUAACUAAUAUUUGUCCUACGAAGUUAAAUUUUAUUAAAAGGCAUUAAAGAUUCUUCAACUUGUGUUGCAUUUAGAUGCUCAACCUCUAGAACAGAGCAUUUGGGUUCUUAACUCUUCAGUUUUGUUGUGGACCAAGCUCAACCAUACUCAAACGAGCUUGUAAUCAUAAAUUAGAAUGAAAAUAAUGUUUUUAUUAAAACAUAUUUGACAAGAUGGUACACUCUCUAAAAGAUAAGGCGAUUUAAAAUGUGACAGAUUUUAUUAUUUAUUUGUUAGAUUUUACCGUAAUUAAUUUAGAAUGUUCUAGGAAUACUUGCUCUAGAUACACCUGGUAUUUCAUCGUCAUAUACUGUGUUGGGAUCAACAUGGUUAACUUGAGCGUGGACAAUUACAGCCAGAGAAAAUUUACUAUUAUGGGAAAGAUUCCGGAGACCAAGAAUCAUUUUUAGUGUGUCCGUGGAAGAGAUGUGUUGUAAAUUGAUCAGAAGAUUAUGGCAAUAAUGAAGUAAACAAGAACAAAAUAAGAACACAUAGAUUUUACGUGGAAAUCCAAGACGGAAAAAAAUCAAGGACAGAGGAGAAGAAUUUACUAUAAUCAAUAGCAAUUGUGUUUGCAAGAUCUCAAUACUCUCAACUAAUAUCUAAAGCUCUCAAAAUGUUGUAUUUUUUGUUCUAUAUGACAAUACACACCGUUCUGUAUAUAUAUAGAAAGCCCUAGAAACCAAAUUACAGAUGAAUAUGUGUCCAAAAUGAGUUAAAAUGUCGCUUGAGAAGCGUCGAGCGACAACCCAGGAGGAGAGAAACUGGCGAUAUUUUUCUGUUCCGAAUUUGACAAUUUCGCUUGUAUGUCCAACUAAUGAAGAGAUAGUGAAAAUGUAAUAAUUUUUCCUGGUUCAUAAGUUGAUUUCUCCAAAACUACUUCAAAUUAGAACUCCAAUACCCACUAUAAUUUGGAUCACACUACAACAAAUCUCCACCUUGAAUCAAAUUCCAAUAAAGGAAACUCAAUAAACACCACUCCACCUCUUCCAAACAAGCCCCAGUGGACUAAAUCAAUGACAAACAUCAAUUAAGUUUAAGCAAUGCUCAAACUUAGUAAUGAGAAGUGGUUUUGUAAUUAUAUUAGCAGGAUUAAUUAUCCUCGAUAUCAACCUUGUUCACUACAAUAUCACUAUGAGCAAUUACUUUACAUAUAAAAUGGUACAUCAUAUCAAUGUGUUUAUUCCUCUCAUGGAACAUCUAAACCUUAUUGAGAAAAAAUAGCACUCUAGCUAUCACAAUAUACUUUAGCUGCAAGUCUUAAAUGAUUUCACCAAUUAAUCCCCUCAACCACAUAGCCUUCUUACAAGCCUUUGCAUUUUGCAAAGUUACUUUUCAGCUGAUAGCACAACCUCCAAGGAUAAACACAUACCUUGCAACUGAUUUCCUUUUGUCAAGAUCCCCUGCAUAGUUUGAAUUCGCAUACCCAAUAACUCCAUUAGUCUUUUUUACCAAAAUGCAAACAAGCAUUGUUCGUGAAAUUAUUUAUUCCGAUUUUAAAUCCACCGCAAGUGUACGAUUCAUUAACAAGUAGUAAAAUGGACUAUAAGUCCAAGUAUCGAUCCCACGAGGAUUGAAUUAAUUCAAAUUAAUCUAAUAUGACAUUAACCGAAACAUGACAACCAAAUGGCGAUUUUGUACUUUAACUAACAAAAUGUAAUCGUUGAUGCAAUUAUGGACGAAGGAUUAUACUAAGUUCAAAAUAAAUUGGAUGCAAUUUAACUAGAAUUUUAUAGAAUUAAUGGAUGUUCUAAUACACUAGGAUCACGAAUCCCCAAGUAAUACCCGUUCAAUAGUCAUUUAUGCAAAUUUGACACACAAAUCCACAAAAGAUGAAUCGAUAUUCCUAUUUUAAUUUAGCAAUCUCUCUCGAGCAAUGCCAAACCUAUCCCAAUAUAUGAUUCGACUAUAUUUCUAUGAUGAAUACUAAUAUACCGACAUGCAUUAUAAUUCACGAAUAUCCAAUGAUUCACACAAGGCAUAAAGGUAUAUUUCUAUCCUCUAUCGGACCCUAUGAUGAUUUAUAUUAUGUCGAACCUAUUUUCCUUAUUUCGAAUGCAUAAAACAGGUCACCACAAUCAUAUAAUCAUGUGCACAAUAAUUAUAUGAAAAUAAAAAUGAAAUAAAUCAAUCAAUUCCGGAAUUUGUGUUCACAUACGUCAAAAAUCCAAAACAACAAUUAAACGUAGUAUUACAAGGUUCAUCGAUCUCCUAGUAGUAAUAAAUCUAUCCUAACAUGCUAAAAAGAACAAAAAUUAAAAGUAUUUGAAGAAACGACAUCACCCGAAUCAAUCUUCAAUCCGAUCUUCAAUUGGCACGAUGUUGUUCUCUUGUUCUCUCCCUUGUUUCUUCUUCAAAAUCUCUCAAAAACAUGUAAAAACGGCAUCCCAUUCGUUUUGGUCGAUUUUUUGUAUUUAUAGGACCCUAAAAUUGUUGUUUCUAUAAGAGUUUCGAAAAAAAAGGAAACUAAAUUUUCCCAACUUUUUGUUCUAUGCGACCGCAUAGAGUAAUUCUAUGCGGUCGCAUAGAAGAAAUUUUUCAACCCUUUUUGAUUUCGCUAUGGUACUAUGCGACCGGAUAGAGGAUAAUACUAUGUGGUCGCAUAGUACUAUCAACUGUGGUAGAAAUUACGUUUUCGUCCUCCCACUUGCAUCCUUCACUCCUUAGCAUCUUCUUUUUAUUCUUUUCAUUUCAUCACCCCCACGAUAUCGUCAAUUGGUAAUUGGCCUAAUUGAUUUCUCGAUUUGUUCAUCGGAUCAAAUUUUGAAUAUUUGCACUUUUGGUCCCUGAACUUUCACUUUGUGUCACUUCAGUCCUUUUUCGCAUCUUUUCUUCUGAAUUUCACUAUGUUCAUCGUUGUUUUCUACAAUUCACAAUUUUACAAGAAUAAGUCACAAUUCAAUCAUUUUGCUCAUAUUUAAAUCAUAUUUGUGACCUAAAUAAGUGUGCAAAAACACACUUAUCAAACCCCCCAAAUUUGAACUAUUGUUUGUCCUUAAACAAGAUAGUGACUUAAUUCUGAACAAACAUGGCUUAAUACCCUGUUGUGGCUCAGGAUUGGACUAAGUACUUAAAAAUUUAUCUGUGCAAACGUGACAUCAACCUUUACCUAUUUAAUGCAAAUUGACGUGUGUGUGAAUUCAUGCCAACAUAUCAGAUUUAUGAUGAAUCUGAGUCCCAACCCCAAGUGGUCAAAUAUAUCCUUACUUGCUCGAGAGAUACACAACCCCCAAACUUAUUGUUUUCACUCAAUUAUCCCAGGGUUGUGUUUUAAGGUUAGGAAUUUAUAUAGUUGUAGUCCUCACCCUCUCGUAGUUCAGAUUUAGCAUUACUAUCAUAAGUCUACAUUUCAAAAAGUGAAGGCUCUCCUAAAUUUGAUUGCUUUGACACUCAAUAUCAAACAAGAUUACUUGUCUCGCCUCAGAGGUACAAUCUCUUCAACCAAAUGUCUAAGGGCUUUUCGUCAUGUUUUGUCUCUCUUUUGUUUUUUUCACCUUUCUUUAAUUCUGAUUGAUUUUCAUCUUCUCAUUUGCUUUCUAUAUAACCCAUGUAACGAGCUUUAGGCCGGUGACUCUCAAAUCAGUUGGAUGUAGGGCAUCAGAUUUUAAACCCUUACAGGCUUAUUUACUCGAGUUAUAAAGGCUCGAUAAGAUGACUUUUUAUUAACUUCUUUCCCUCUUUCUUUCUAUAUGAUCCAUGUAACGAGCUUUGAGUUGGUGCCUCCCAAACCAGUUGGUUUUAGGGCACCAGAUUUUGAAGUAUCCUGACAAGCUUACUUACUCGAGUCAUAAAAGCAUGAAAAGAAGUGUUUUAUUCUCACGUAUAAAAAUUGUGCCCUUUGUCAUUUUUUUAGACAUUUAGUUUCCAAAACCAACCCCCCAAUUUAAGAUUUUCACCUACUCUUCAUCCCACUGGUCUAGGCAAUCCACACAAUAAAUUUCAUGCACGGAGCCUCCGCUCAUCUCAAUGCUUUCCUAUAAUAGCUCAACUAUCACCAAACUGUCUUUAGGUAGUUUAUGGCUUAAUUCAAUAGAGGAUUAUCAUUCUUUUUCUAUUUUAUGCUCAAAAUUCAGUCAUUCACCUAAUAUGUCAAGCAUGAGUAGCGUGCAUAGAUAAUGUCAAGUGUUGCAUCAACAAGUAUCAGUAACAAGUAUCAGUUAGUCUAAUUAACACCAGAUCCAAAGUUUUGUAGUUUAAACUAGUCCAAUAAUAACAUUAUAGCGAACAAAGUUAUUAAGCCCACAAAAGCAUGCUAAACCCACACAAGCAUGCAUGAAGAGAAUUAAAACAAACUGAAUAGAAUGCAAAUUUUUUUUUCACUCAUCAUGCAUGCAUUAUGCAGUAAUGAAAAACAGAUAAUGAUGAACACAGAUAAAGAUUUGAAAUUAUGUCACCCUCCCCAAACUUAGUUAAUAUAUUGUCCUCAAUGUAAGAUUAACAAAAGAUUAACGACAUAAUUUAAGGACAAAAUGAAGAUGAAAAAUCAAAAUGGGAUAAACAAUACUCCCCUGAUCAAAACAGUGGCUGGGAUGGAAAGCUGAGCUCGGCAUCAUCAUCGCGAGGAGGAGAGGGAAGGCGAGACAAGAUCUCCCUCAACAUGGCAGACUGCUGGGUCUGCUCCAUCUGCAUGGCUUGAACCCUCGUCUCCAAAUUCCCUAGACGGUCCCAAGACUCGUUUACCCGCCACUGUAUACCAUCCAUCCGGCUAAAGUACAUGCCCAGAUGCCUGUCGAAAGCACUCAUCUGUCGGCGUGCUGUGAUGGAUUCACUGCUGGCAGUGGACGCGAAGUUUCGUGCAGAUGCCAUAUCUGUCUGUACUUGCUGGAUGGUGGUAGUCAGUGCCCUAAAUGACUGCUGAGGCUGCUGCAUGUCUCGCCCGUAUCCAGUCAUAGUAGCAAACAUCUGCCGCAAUAACUGAGUGUCCUCUCUGCAGCCUGUUGCUGUCGCCGGCGCUCGUUUUCCAAUUUCUGCUAAUGUUUAAUCCUGGCGCGGUCCUGGGCUUCCAGUGCGAGGCAUUUGAUAAAAGGACUUGGUUUCUCCGGUGCCUCCCCUGGCUGAACUUGUAUGCCAGCAGCUCUACAAAUUCCACUUAUCAGGCUCGGGAAAAUCAAUGAUGUGUGCCUGUCACCCCAUGCGCCUAUAACGUGUAUCUGAUUGUAAAUGUAGGUGGUUAAGUCAAUUUUGUUCCCCCGAACUAAGUGGUAAAUGAAACCUACCUUCUGAUCUGUGAAUGUCGUCUGAUGGGAGAUUGGCUCGAUGUUGUGACAGAUGAAUAACCAUAGGAUGGCUAUGGACGGAGUGAGGUCUAUCUAAUACCAAUCAGCAGUAGGGAGCGACUAAGCAUUUUUCCGUCCCAAUAAAACUUCGGCCACUUCAACCCAGUUGAAAUCAUACGGGACUAGGACUACAUUUGUCUAGGUGAGAUGAUAGUAGUCAUAUAUUACCUCAAGUGAAAACAUGAUCCAUUUGCCCCGAACCUAAGUCUGAUGCAGAUGGUCGGAUCCCGGUGUGUCUAUUUCAGCAUUGAAAUUUGCAUAGAAUUCCCAUACCAAGUUUUCAUAGACAGGGUAUGGUCUUUCAAUCACCUUCUCCCACCCGCAGUUGUGGACUAGAUAAACCAGUUCAAAACCCAAAAAAUCAUCUAAUUUAACUAGUCUUUCGGGGAUGAGCGCCCAUUCCCAGACAACAUUGGCAUAGCGGGCUGCUUGGUUGGAAGAAAGAAAAUGUCGGACUCCCCCUUCAGGUUCUCUAGUCCGGGCUGUGCCAGAUGUGAAACCAACUUUCUCCUUUCCGUUUGAUGUAUGCUUUGGGGGCAUCCUGCAAAGGUAAAGAUACAGUAGUCAGUAAACUGCAUUAUUAAAAACGAUAGGGGAAAUGAGGUAAGCUAGACAAAUAGUUUACAAACUCCCCAAACUUGCUUCAACAAGCAUAUAGAACACCAUUGUGUGCACGCAUCAAAGUAUGACAAAGAGGGAAGUGUAAAGAGAAUGUUGAGGUGAAAAAUUGGAAAGUUAGGCCAAAACAAAUACAUGUAAAAAAAAUCAUAUCCAUGACCGAGUGCGCAUGUUCGACCCCGGAUAUCGUCGAAAAAUAUCGAUAUUCCCCGGGCAAGUUCCGGGCGUAUGAGAGUAUUCAAUGAGAUCUACCAUAUAUUCAAAUUUUAAAGCAAAUGGACUACGUUUGGUAUGCCAAUUAAUGGUGGAAAGUAUGGGACGUAGGGUGCCGUGACAUGCCAUGUGCUUAUGCGUUGCAAGAUGGAAGUGAUGUGAUACAUGGUCGUUCAAGUGGUUGUGAAUGUGGUCACAAGCAAAUGUCAAGAAAACAUGCUCAAGAACGUACAAGGAAAGCAAAAUAACAAGUCACACACAAACAUAGGUUCAAACAACCAAAAUGAAUCAAGUAACCCAAUGAUUAAGUGUGCACUUUCGCCCCCGGACAUCAUCGAGAAAACUAGAAGUUUUCCCGAACAACCUCUAGGCAUAUGAAAGUAUGUAGUGUGGAGUGACACAUAUUCAAUUUUCAAGCUCAUUGGACGUCGUACGUGUAAUUAACGCAAGGGACGAAGUGUGUGCGAUGAGGUGAUGUGAACCUAACACUUGAGCCGAAAGGUGUGGGGUUGGUAGGUGAGUGUGUCGAGCUCAAUUUCGAUGGCAAUUAUAUGGGAAUGCGUGUACUCAAAAUGUCUAAUGCAGAAUUGUGCAAAAUGUACUACAAUUGUCACGUAGGCAAUUCAUCGAACAAGUAGCAUGCAAGAUCGGAAAAAAAAAACUACACAAUACCAAAGUGACAAUGUUCCACCAAUCCACAACACAAGCCAAGUGUAACGUACACAAAACCAACGAAAAGCAUUGCCCAUCCUCCACAAUCAGGCUUAAAUAGCAUAAUCUCAUGGCGAACCAAAUUUAAGAAGAUAAAUGCAUAGAAGAAGGAAAGAGGAACAUACCUAGACUUCGCACGGGAUGCGUGGAAUGUUGAUUUAUGGAGUAAAUGGGGGGGGGGAGUCGAGUGAAGUUCGGCGUGUUGAUGUGUGUUGGAGAGUGGUGUGGGAGGAAAUUAGGGGGGAAAUGGGGGAUAAUGGCUCGGUCAUGGUUUAAUACCAUGAUCGAGAGAGUACUAUGCGACCGCAUAGUUCAUAACUAUGCGGUCUCAUAGUAGAUAUAAAAAAGCGCCUUUUGUUUUUGGUAAGGGGCUAUGUGGUCGCAUAGAUUAACAGUCUAUGGGACUGCAUAGGUUUUUUUUUUAAAUUAAUUAUAGCACUGAAAUGCAAAAGUUUUUUUUUUUUUUUUAUUUAUAUAGCACUGAAAUGCAAAAAAAAAAAAAAAAGUAUUUCCGUCGAAAUUUUUUUAAAAAAAAACGUUUUUUGAUCUAGAAAAGCGUGAACCAUGCUCCCAAACACCCAAAAUCAUUUCAAACUCACCUACCAUGUGUGUAAUGCCUAGAAAAUUAUGGGGAUGAUAAUUCGAUCCAAUUAACAUGCAUGUACAAUCGAUGACCUAAAAAAAAUGCAAAUGCGAAAAUGAAAUAAUUUUAAAAAUAAUGUGGAAAGUAAGCUAAUAAAAGGAUACAGUGAGUUGCCUCCCACUCAGCGCUAGAUUAUAGUCGAUAGCUCGACUUUAUUGUGUUGCUUCAUUUUGAUGAUCGAAGAUGAACGAUAGUCUUUUCCUUUGAAAAAUCGCCUUCCCAAUAGUGCUUUAGACGCUGUCCAUUGACCUUGAAUGUCCCCUUGCUGUCGUGAGUGAUUUCAACUGCCCCAUGUGGAAAAACCUGGGUAAUAGUAUAUGGAUCAGACCACCUUGAUCGCAGUUUUCCGGGAAAUAGCUUAAGCCUAGAGUUGUAGAGCACUUUCUGCCCCACCAUAAAUCCACGCCUCUGAAUGUGCAUAUCAUUCCAUUUCUCUGUGCGCUCUUAUUGGUUCUUGAAUUCUCGUAGGCUUCCAUUCUGAGCUCAUCCAGCUCAUUAAGUUGUAGGAGACGUUUUUCACCCGCAACCUUCAAAUCCAAAUUCAAUUUCUUCAUUGUCCAGUAAGCAUGAUGUUCUAUCUCAAGAGGUAAGUGGCAUGCUUUCCCGAAAACCAGUCGAUAUGGUGACAUUCCCGUAGGGGUCUUGAAUGCAGUCCUAUAGGCUCACACGGCGUCGUCCAAUUUCUUAGACCAAUCCUUUCGUGAUGAACUUACUGUGACUUCGAGUAUUCGCUUUAAUUGUCUAUUGGACACUUCGACCUGUCCGCUGGCUUGGGGAUGAUAUGCAGUGGCUACACGAUGUUUAACGCCAUAUUUAGCCAACAAUUGAUCGAACUGACGAUUGCAAAAGUGUUUGCCCUCGUCACUGAUUAUAGCCCUCGGUGUUCCAAAGCGGGUAAAAAUAUGUUUCUUUAGAAACUUAAUCACCACCUUCCCAUCAUUGGUAGGCAGUGCAACGGCCUCUACCCACUUUGAUACGUAGUCCACAGCCACUAAUAUGUAUUGAUUAGAGAAGGAUGGGAAAAAUGGUCCCAUGAAGUUGAUCCCCCAGACGUCGAAUAGUUCCACCUCCAGGAUACUAUUCAAAGGCAUUUCAUUUCUCCUGGAUAUAUUUCUGGUGCGUUGACAUCGAUCACACCUUUUCACGAAUUCAAAAGCAUCUUUAAAUAGUGUAGGCCAAUAAAAAUCUGAUUGAAGGAUCUUCGCUGCUGUUUUUAAAGCAACAAAAUGCCCUAUAUAUGUAGAUGAAUGACAAUGUUCUAAUAUCAAAGACACUUCUUCCUCAAGUACGCAGCGAUGAACAAUUUGAUCAGCCCCCCGCCUGUAUAGAAUGGGAUCCUUCUAGAAAUAAUAUUUAAUUCAGAGAAAAAUUUCUUCUUCUAGUGAUUGGAGUAAUCAGGCGACAUGAUAGACCUGGCUAAGUAGUUAACAAUGUUUGCAUACCAGGGUACCUCCCCCAAACGAAAAAUCUGUUCAUCUGGGAAGACUUCAUUGAUUUCCACUAUUUCUGUCUGUUCUGUGGCCUUGAGUCGAGAUAAGUGGUCUGCCACUACAUUUUCACUGCCUUUCUUAUCCCUGAUUUCCAUGUCAAACUCUUGAAGCAACAGUAUCCAAAGAAUGAGACGGGGCUUUGCAUCCUUCUUUUCCAUUAAGUACUUGAAAGCAGCGUGAUUUGUGUAAAUGAUGACCUUUGAUCCCACGAGAUAUGACCGAAAUUUGUCAAAUGUGUAGACUACGGCAAGGAGCUCUUUGUCUGUAGGGCAUAAUUGAGUUGAGCGUCGUUCAAGGUCUUACUUGCAUAGUAAAUCACGUGAAAUAUCUUAUUUCUUCAUUGUUCUAAGACAGCCCCAACAGCAUAAUCACCGGCGCCGUACAUUAAUUCAAAUGGCAGAUUCCAAUCUGGCGUAAUGAUCAUGGGUGCUGAAAUCAACUUCUCCUUCAAGGUGUUAAAAGCAAGCAGACACUCAUCUGUAAACUCAAAUGUAGAUUCCUUCAUCAACAGACUGUACAACGGUUUAGUAAUCUUUGAGAAAUCCUUGAUGAACCUUCUAUAGAAAUAAGCAUGCCCGAGAAAACUACGAACACCUUUCACGGAUCUAAGUGGCGGUAAUUUCUCGAUCACCUGAAUCUUUGCUCUGUCCACUUCUAUACCCUUUGCUGAGAUUCUGUGUCCUAGCACGAUGCCUUCCUGCACCAUAAAGUGGCAUUUCUCCCAAUUUAAUACCAAGUUAGUCUCCGUACACCGCUGUAGCACAAGACUCAAAUGCUCCAAGCACUCAUCAAAUGAAGACCCGAACACUGAGAAAUCGUUCAUGAAGACCUCGAUGAAUUUCUCAAUCAUAUCUGAGAAGAUAGCCAUCAUGCAGGGUUGAAAAGUUGCAGGAGCAUUGCAUAAACCAAAUGGCAUCCUACGGUAUGCAAAGGUACCGUAGGGGCAAGUGAAAGUUGUCUUCUCCUGAUCGUCAGGUGCUACUGAAAUUUGAUUAUACCCAGAAUAUCCAUCUAGAAAACAAUAAUGUGAAUGCCCUGCUAGUCUUUCCAGCAUCUGAUCAAUGAACGGUAGUGGGAAGUGAUCCUUUCGAGUAGCAGCGUUUAGUUUGCGGUAAUCGAUGCAAACUCUCCAUCCAGUCACAGUCCGUGUAGGAAUCAACUCAUUUUUCUCGUUUUCUAUCACUGUGAUACCCCCUUUCUUGGGAACAACUUGUACUGCACUGAUCCAAGCACUAUCUGAUAUUGGAUAGAUGAUGCCUGCGUCGAGCAACUUCAAUACCUCAACCCUAACCACUUCCUUCAUGUGUGGAUUUAGUCUCCGCUGACCAUCAAUGCUUGGUUUGGAUUUUUCCUCCAUAAGUAUUUUGUGCAUGCAUAGCGACGGACUGAUCCCCUUGAUAACUGCAAUCGACCAUCCAAUGGCUGUUUUAUUUUCCCUUAGCACCCGAAGUAGUUUCUUUUCCUCCACCUCACUGACAGUACUUGAAAUAAUAACCGGAAGUGUAGAAGAUUCCCCCAGGUAAGCAUAUCUCAGGUGUGGUGGCAGUUGCUUGAGUUCCAAUUUGGGAGGUUCCUGAAUAGAUGGCACUGACUGUGCAGUCCUGGUUCCCAGUUCUUCGAAGUAGCAUCUGCGCAUGUAUGGCAGAUUAGUCUCCAAAAAUCGUGCACAUGUUUCAAUCUCACUCGAAUCAGUAUGAGUGGAUUGAGAAUGUGCAAUGCACGCCUCGUAAGCAUCUGAAGGAUGAUGUAGCCGAAAUGUAUCUUGAAUUAUUCUAUCAAUUACAUCGAUCUGGAAACAGCUGUCUGACUCAGUCGGGAAUUUUAUUGCCUCGAACACAUUGAACGAGAUUUGCUCUUGGCCAAGCCUCAAUAUAAGCUGCCCUUUCUGAACAUCAACAAUCGCUCUUCCAAUAGCUAGGAAAGGUCGCCCCAAUAUAAGUGGAACAUCCUUAUCUUCCUCCAUAUCCAAGAUAAGAAAAUUGGCUAGAAAUAUAAACUUCUCCAUUUUUACAAAUACGUCUUCAAUGAUCCCUCUUGGAUGUGUAAGGGAUCAAUCUGCUAACUGUAAUGUAACCGUUUUGGCUUUAGCUUCUCCCAAGCCAAGUUUUUUGAAAAUAGAGAGAGGCAUUAAAUUAAUACUUGCACCUAAAUCACACAAUGCUUUAUUAAAAUAACAAUUUCUAAUAGUACAAGGUACAGUAAAACUCCUUGGAUCCUUUAGUUUUGGAGGCAACUUUCUUUGGAUUUUGGCCUGCACUCCUCAGUUAGCAUCACUGUUUCGUGUUUUUCUAUCUUUCGCUUGUUGGAGAGAAAUCCUUCAGGAAUUUUGCAUAACUUGGCAUCUGAACAAGUGCUUCAACAAAUAGAAUGUUGAUGUGUAGUUUCUUGAAGACUUCAAGAAAUUUACUGAAUUGCUGAUCCAAUUUGAGCUUUUUCAAUCUCUACGGAAACGAAAUAUGAGGCUCAUGAGGGUUGAUAGGAAUGACAUCCCGUGAUGUAUUGGAAUUCUCCUUGACCACAUUCCCUGUUGUUUAUUCAGUUUGUUCCACAAUUUCGUCAUCUGAGGUUGGUGCUGAUUCCUUGCUAGCUACGAUCUUUUGACAUGUAUCUCCGGUAGUUGUACUCCACUUCUCGUUGUUAUAGCCUUUGCAUGCUCCUUAGGGUUGAUUUCAGUGUUGCUGGGCAGAUUUCCUGGUGCUCUACCCGUAAUGGAGAUUGCUAUCUGCCCCAUUUGUGUCUCCAAAAUUUUGAUUGCUGCACUCUGGUCUUGAAGAGUUGCAUCUGUCUUUCGUAUAAACUGAUUGUUGGCUUCCAUAUACUGGUUGGUUGUUACCAUGAACUUUUCAAACAUCUCUUCCAAUGGUGGCUUUUUAUCCUGCUGCUGAUAUUGACCUUGUGGUCUGUUUUGAUUCUGAUUGCUCCACAUGAAGUUUGGAUGUUUUCUCCAGCCCUAAUUGAAGGUUUCCGAAUGUGGGUUGUUUUGUUGCCAUUGACCCCAUUGCACAAAAUCUGCAUGUUCGACUCCUUGUGCGAGAAUUGGACAAUUAACGGUAUUGUGGUCUGCUCCACAUUCUUCGCAACUCGACUUCUUGACUUGUUUAGUAGUGGUGGUCUGUGAAAUGCUCUCAACCUUAUGGAACAAAGAGUCUAUCUUUGCAGAUAGUGCGGAAUAAGUAUCUAUUUCAUAAACCCCCGACGAUCUCUUUUGAACCACUCGAUCUGUAGACCACAUGGCUGAAGUUGUUGCCAUUCUCUCAAAUAGCUCCGAUGCUUUAUCAAUUAUUCUCGUGGAGAUAGACCCGUCAGAUGAGGAAUACACCAUGCUCUUGAAGGAUGGAAGUAGUCUAGUGUAGAAAAAUCGGAUCUGUGUCUUCUUGUCAAAGCCAUGUUGCGAGCACUUCCUCAACAUAUUCUUGAAAUAAUUCCAUGCCUCUUCAAAUGAUUUGGACUCACCUUGGUUGAAAAUAGAUAUAUCAUGCUGCAUUUUGGCUACCUUUGCUAGCGAGAAGAACUUGGUGCAGAAUUUGUGGGCUAGCUCGUUCCAGGUGGUGAUGCUUGCGACGAGAAGUGAAUCCAGCCAUUCAAGUGCCUUAUCCCACAAGGUGUGUGGAAACAACCGUAGUAUUAUAGCAUCGUCUGAGAUACCCUGGUACCUGAAGUGUUGGCACAUAUCCAGAAAUCGGGAUAUGUGUGUAUGUGGGUUCUCACUAGCCAUCCCGUGGUAUUAAUGCCCAUUUUGAAAUAAUUGAAUCACAUUUGUUUUCAGCUAGAGGUUCGGUUGCCCAAAUGGAGGAUACUCGAUGCUAGAUUGACUUUGGACUACCAACGGAGCCAUGAAGUCUCCAAGUACUGUAUUCCCGUCAUCUUCAACUGCCAUGCCUUCGUUGAGUGGAAUUACCGGUCGAUUUUGCUCAUUAGCCAUUUGUUGGGCCGCUCUUGCUUCUCUUUGCCUGUGACGAAAUGUGCGUUCGAUCUCUAGAUCUAUGAGAACCAAGUCUUGAUCAGGUGCUCCUUGUAUACAAGCCCAGAGAUAGCAAAAUUAACACAAAAUUAAGUUGACGUAAUUUUAAACUAAACCUAGUAAGCUAACUACUACUAAUCUAGAUAAGUUUGAAUUAGUGUCACAAAAGAUAAAAUUAAAACUAAAUUUCAAUCUCCGACAACGACGCCAAAAACUUGUUCGCGAAAUUAUUUAUCCCAAUUUUAAAUCCACCGAAAGCGUACGAUUCGUUAACAAGUAGUAAAAUGGACUAUAAGUCCAAGUAUGAUCCCACGAGGAUUGAAUUAGUUCGAAUUAAUCUAAUAUGACCUUAACCGAAACAUGACAACCAAAUGGCAAUUUUGUACUUUAACUAAUAAAAUGUAAUCGUUGAUGCAAUUAUGGACGAAGGAUUAUACUAAGUUCAAAAUAAAUUGGAUGCAAUUUAACUAAAAUUUUAUAGAAUUAAUGGAUGUUCUAACACACUAGGAUCACGAGUUCCCAAGCAAUACUCGUUCAAUAGUCAUUUAUGCAAAUUUGACAUACAAUUCCAUAAAAGAUGAAUCGAUAUUCCUAUUUUAGUUUAGCAAUCUCUCUCGAGCAAUGCCAAACCUAUCCCAAUAUAUGAUUCGACUGUAUUUCUAUGACAAAUACUAAUAUACCGACAUGCAUUAUAAUUAACGAAUAUCCAAUGAUUCACACAAGGCAUAGAGGUAUAUUUCUAUCCUCUAUCGGACUAUAUGAUGAUUUAUACUAUGUCGAACCUAUUUUCCUUCUUUCGAAUGCAUAAAAUAGGUCAUCACAAUCAUAUAUUCAUGUGCACAAUAAUUAUAUGAAAAUAAAAACGAAAUAAAUCAAUCAAUUUCGGAAUUUUUGUUCACAUACUUCAAAAAUCCAAAACAACAAUUAAACGUAGUAUUACAAGGUUCAUCGAUCUCCUAGUAGUAAUAAAUCUAGCCUAACAUGCCAAAAAGAACAAAACUUAAAAGUAUUUGAAGAAACGACAUCACCCGAAUCAAUCUUCAAUCCGAUCUUUAAUUGGCACGAUGUUGUUAUCUUGUUCUCUCUCUUGUUUCUCCUUUAAAAUCUCCCAAAAAAUGUAAAAACGGCAUCCCAUUCGUUCUGGUCGAGUUUUUGUAUUUAUAGGACCCUAAAAUUGUUGUUUCUACAAGAGUUUCGGAAGAAAAAGGAAACUAAAAUUUUCCCAACUUUUUGUUCUAUGUGAUCGCAUAGAGUAAUUCUAUGCGGUCGCAUAGAAGAAAUUUUUCAACCCUUUUUGGUUUCGGUAUGGUACUAUGCGACCGGAUAGAGGAUAGUACUAUGCGGUCACAUAGUACUAUCAACUGUGGUAGAAAUUACGUUUUUGUCCUCCCACUUGCAUCCUUCAAUUCUUAGCAUCUUCUCUUCAUUCUUUUCAUUUCAUCACCCCAUGAUAUCGUCAAUUGGUAAUUGGCCUAAUCGAUUUCUCGAUUUGUUCAUCGGAUCAAUUUUUGGAUAUUUGCACUUUUGGUUUUCGCGUCUUUUUUCCUGAAUUUCACCAUGUUCAUAGUUGUUUCCUACAAUUCACGAUUGUACAAGAAUAAGUCACAAUUCAAUCAUUUUACUCGUAUUUAAGUCAUGUUUGUGACCUAAAUAAGUGUGCGAAAACACACUUAUCAAGCAUUAGUUGAGCUCUUCGAGUAUCUGAAUAUCCAUUGAACUGCUUUUCAAUGUUUCUUGCCAGGAUUUGUCAUGUAACUGCAUGUGAACAAAACUGGUCAUGUACAAACCAUAGUAUACAUUAGCGAACCAACUGCACUGAAAUAAGGAACCCGAGACAUGUAAUCAAUAUCUUCAUCUGAUCGAGGACAUAAUCCAGAUGACAAUUUGAAGUGAAUAGCUAAGGGAGUAUUGACAGGCUUAGCAUUCAGCAUGUUGAAUCUUUGAAGCACAUUCUCAAUAUAUCCCUUUUGACUUAAGUACAAUCUGCCAGCCUUUUUGUCCCUCAAGAUUUCCAUGCCAAGGAUCUUAUUUGUUGUACCCAAAUCCUUAAUCUCAAACUUCCUACUAAGUUGAGAUUUUACAUUUCUGACAUCUGCUUUAUUCUUGGCUGCAAUUAAGAUAUCACCGACAUAUAGUCGCAAAUAUGUUAUCGAUCCAUCGGCUUUCUUCCUGAAGUACUCACAGCUGUCAUAGUUACUUCUACUAAAACUGCGAGUAGUUAUGAAUGAAUUGAACAUUUUGUACCAUUGCCUCAAUGAACGCUUUAGUCCAUACAAUGACUUCUUCAAUAAGCACACAUAGUCUUCCUUCCCAGAAGCUAUGAAACACUCUAGUUAUUGCAUAUAUAUGUUUUCCUCAAGUUCUCCAUGCAAGAAAGUUUUCUUAACAUUCAUUUGUUCAAGUUCCAAGUCAUUCUUUGCCACUAUUCCAAGUAAAGCCCGAAUUGAACUAUGCUUUACAAUCGGCAAUAACACAUCUAUUAAUUUAACACCUGGAAUCUGACUAUAGCCUUUUGCUAACAAUUUGGCCUUAUACCUAGUAUCUUCAUUCCCUGAUGUCCCUUCUUUUCUUUUAAACACCCAUCUGCUGUGAACAACCCCUUAAUCCUUUGGUAAUUUUUCCAAGUCCCAAGUACAAUUUUUAUUUGAUGACUCAAUCUUCUCCUGCAUAGCAAUCAACCAUCUGCCAAAUCACUGCAAUUGACUAUCUCUGUAUAUAUAGCAGGCCCCUCAGUCGAAUCAAUUUCUUCAGCCACAUUUAAUGCAUAUGCAACCAAUAUGCCUCACCAUACUUCUGUGGAGGUUUAAUUUGUCUGCGAGGUCUAUCCUUAGCAAUAGAAUACUGUGGUGCUGCUUGUUGUGUAGGUAAAGUAAGCAAAGUAUUGCUAUCUAUUAGUUCUGAACUGGACUGUUAUGAUAUAGACGGUUCUUUAACCUCUGAUUGUUCCCCAGGACCAAUUUUCAACUUCACCUGAGUUGGAUGAUUCCAUUCCUUUAUUUUAUCAAAAUCCACACAAGGUAAAUCAUGAGCCAUAGCAAGUUCAUCAAAUACUACAUCCCUACUAAUCACCACAUUCCUUAUCUCUGGAUACCACAAUUUAUAUCCAUUCACACCAAAUUUGUACCCAAGAAAGAUACACUUUCUAGACCUAGGCUCUAACUCCCAUUAUCCACAUAAGCAUAAGUAGGACACCUAAAAAUCUUCAAAUUAGUAAAACAAGAAGGUUUACCAUACUAUACCUCUUUUGGUGCCUUUUUCCCAAUGGCAGUUGAGUGUGAGCAUUAAUUAGAAAACGAGCUAUGAUAGCAGUUUCAGCCCAAAAAGUCUUUGGCAACCCAAAGUUUGAAAGCAUAUACCGAACAUUUUCCAUCAAAGUUCUAUUCAUCCGUUUUGUCAUACCAUUUUGUUGAGGAGUUCCGAACACGUCAAGUGUCUCAAGAUGCCUUUAGCCCUAUAGAAGCUAUUGAAUUCAUCUGAACAAAACUUCAACCUAUUAUCUGUGCAUAGACAUUUGAUUUAUUUUCCAAUAUACUUUUCUAUUAUUGUUUUCCAUUCUUUGAAGGUCCCAAACACAUCACUUUACUGUUUAAAGAAGAAUACCCAAACUUUUCUAGAAAAAUCAUCAAUUACUAUCAAUAAGUAAUAAGUACCUCCUCUUGAAGGUACCUUGGCCAGUUCUCAGAGAUCUGAAUGUAUAUAUUCAAGUGUUCUUUUCAUGUUGUGUCUACCUAUAGUGAAUCUGACUCUUUUCUGUUUCCCAAGGACAAUGCUCACAGUACUUUGUAUUACCGAUCCUCUAUCCAUCAAGAAGCCCUUUUUUUACUCAAUUCAGCCAUACCAUUCUCACUCAUAUGUCCAAGUCGCAUAUAUCAAAGUUUAGAAACUUUUUCAUCAGUCAAGGAGAAACAAGAGACUGUUACAUCUUUGUUGUAACUGUGAAAUCCUACAGAAUGUACAGUUGUGCAGAGUUUUUUAUAUCCUUUCAUGACAAGAAGAGUGUCCCAACUUACUUUCAAAACUCCAAAUUCACUUGUGUACGAGUUAAGUGAACUUAAGGAUAUGGGAUUUUGCUUCAAUUCUGGAACAUGCGUGACAUCUAUGAGUGUUCUGAUAAAACGUUCAAACAUUCUGAGUGUGAUUGCACCAACUCCGACAACUUUACACUGCGCAUUAUUCUCCAUUAUCACUGCACCUCUCGUAACUCCCUCAUAUGUUGUAAACCAGUCCCUGUUGAGACACAUAUGGAAAGUACAAGUUGAGUCAAUGAACCCAUUCCUCACAAGGUUUGGAAUCCAUGUCAAAAAUUACAAGAAACUCUUCUUCACUUUGCCCAUCUUCCACAACAUCAGCCUUUGCUAAAUUAACAGGUUGCUUUUCUCUUAGUAGCACCAGCAAUCUUAUUCAUUUUUUUUUUCAAGAAAUAGCAAUCAGCCCUGAUAUGUCCAUUCUUCUUAUAGUAAAACUUUCUCUGCAUGUUUGGAUUUUGAUCUGCCUGUCAUACUCCUACCAGAUUUCUUGUCCUGAUUUCUCCCUAUAAUAAUCAGGCCUUCUACCUAACUCCUAGAUCUUCCAACAAGAUGCAUCAUUUUUUUCUUUGAUAACAAAGCAACAUAGACCUCUUCCAAAGUGAGAGUGUCCCGACUAUAGAUAAUUGUAUCUCUAAAAAUUACAUAUGAUGGUGGUAGAGAACACAACAUCAAUGCCAAGUCCUCAUCAUCAUACUUAAUCUCCAAUGUCUCCAAAUCGGCCACGAUUUCUUUGAACGUGGUUGACUGAUCAUCCAAUGAUGCACUUUUUGACAUCCAGUGAGAAUACAAGCGCUGUUUUAAGUAUACUUGCUGGUCAAGCUUUUUGUAAUACAAAGUUGCUCCAACUUUAACCACAAUGCAGUGGCACUAUUUUCCUUGAAGACAUCUUGAAGAAUUCGAUUUUAUAGAUGUAGAUGAAUUUGGGUUUGGGGUUUUCGAUCCCUACGCUGCUUUUCUUCUUGUGUUCAGGUUGAAAGCAUCUUAUCAAAGCUAAACAAGACUUCCUUCAAAUCCAUCCGCUAGAGGACUGCUUACAUCUUUACUUGCCAUAAAGUAAAUCACGUGCUUCGAUCCAAUAAUGGAAUAUCAAACUUCAUCGUUACCAUGUAGAAUAAUCAACCUUCACUCUAAUACCCCUUGCUGUGAAUUGAUCGAAAGAAUAUGACAAUAAUGAAGUAAACAAGAGCAAAACAAGAACUCAAAGAUUUUAUGUGAAAAUCCAAGAUGGAAAAAAAACCACAGGUAGAUGAGAAGAAUUCACUACAAUCAAUAGCAAUUGUAUAUCUCAAUACUCUUAGCUAAGAUUUAAAACUCUCAAGAUGUCGUACUGUCUUUUCUAUAUGAGAAUACACGCCAUUAUGUGUGUGUGUUUGUGUGUAUAUAUAAGUUGUAGAUGAAUAAAAGUCCAAAAUGCGUUAAAACGUGAAAAUACAAGAAACACUGUCGCUCGAACAAUAGGGGACGAGAAGCAGGUAACAGUUUUCUAUUUCGAAUUUGACAAUUUUGCUAGAGUGUCUAGCUAGCAAAGAGCUAGCGAAAAUGCGGUAAUAAUUUAUCUCGGUUCAUAAGUUGAUUUCUCCAAAACCACUUCAAAUUAGAACUGCAAUACCCACUAGGGGACACACUACAACAAGAUGGUUAUUGGCAAGAGAUGCAGGUUUAUGUUAUUGCUACAUUAUGUUAUUGAUUACAUUUUUAAGUUUAUGCUAGUUUGAAAACAUAUAUUUUACACCGUUUUUCAAUAUAUUAUAUUUCUUGCUAGGCAUGUUGAAUAGAAAAUCUUAAGAGUAAUUCUCAAGGCGAAAUGGCAUAUGAGCUUUGUUUGUUUUAAAACUUAUUCCGACGGAGGUUUUGCUUCAUUUUCAUAUAUACAUAUAUCAAUGUAUUUUCUUUAUCAUCUCAAAGUUAUUGCAUUUAUCAUGAACUUACUGUAAUUUAUAAAAAAAAAAUUGCUUACAUUUAUCAUAGCCUUACCGUACAAGUGCUCAAGGAACUAAUAGAUUGUGACUGCAUUCAUGAAAGGUCAAAGCGAUAGCUUUUUUAUUUCAAUUGUUUUAGGUGAGGAUGCUUUUCAAAUUAUAUGUGAAAGAGAAAUAUUUUCUUGUCUCGAAUCAACUGCAAAUAGAAUUCGAGGUCUUUGUAUUUUAAAAGGAGGGAGCUACAAGUCUAUCAGUUUUACAAAGCAAACGGCAAACCUACUGGCUCCACCAGAAUAGGAGUAAGUCAGAUGACGUUGUUUGAGCAACUUGAGCAAAGCUUGAUUGAAUUGAAGGCCAACUUUGACAAGUUCUUUCAACAACUAGAAGAUGCCAGAUGGGACACAAACCAAAUAAAUCUUAAGGUGCCUAGGGAAAUAUAAAUUGAUGAACACCUGACUGUCUUAAUAGAGACUUAUAAUGAAGAGACUGUUUUCUUAUGCUCUCGGUCAAAUGUACUUUUUUACAUUCAAAUUUGAGCUAUCGUUGCUCCAAGGCGUUUAGAGGCGGCAUCUCCUUAUUGAAUUGAUCUCGAAAUGAGCUAGAUACAAUUUGCUAUCCAUCUCUACCUUUCUUUCAAGCUUCAUCAAGCAGCAAAUGAAUUGUAAUAUUAAACAACAUUUGUAGAAAAUAUGUUACAUGAACUUACUAGCAAUUUUAUGCUCAGUUGGUACUACAAAUCUCUCAAUUUUUUAUACUUGACUUAUAGAGUGUUAAGCAUAAAAAAAGAAUGUUCUAGAUUUCAUUGUUGAUUUCUUAGAUUUUUCCAUAAUUGAUCGUUUUGUGGUAUGAGUUCUUCCAUGUCACAUUAUCUACCCAUUCAUGUGAACACCAAUUUACUUAAAAAGUGAAUCUAAUAUGAACUAAUAAACUACAAUCAACUAAAUUAUUCUCUGACAAUCUCGUCCUCCCUUUAAGGACAUAAAAUCACAUUGAAAAGAGGGAUGUGAAGUAACACACAUGAGCUCACCUAGAUACCGACGAAGCAAAGCCUUCUAUGAAUAAACCAUCUACCAUGGAAGAGCCACAUCCUACAAGGAAUCAAAAUAAGCCCUUGCAUAGAAGAGUUAACCCCUUGUAAAAAAGUAAAAUCGCUUAAAAAUGAGAGGUGUAAAGCAACCUACAGAGGCCCACCUUGAUACCCACGAUGCGAAAUCUUCAAUGGAUGAACCAUCCACCAUAGAAGAAGUCCUUGCAUGGAAGAGCCACUUCUAUAAGGAAACAAAAUAAGCCCUUACAUGAAGGAGUUAACCACCUGUAAGGAAGUAAACCCACUUCAAAAGUAAAGAUGUGAAGCAACCUCUUGAAUCACCAAAGAUCCCUUUUUUACAUUAUACCAAUCAAAUCCAUUAGAAAGAUUCGAAAUCAACAAAAGAAAAAGUAAGUGGACCAAACAACAGAAAAACCUACUUCUGCAAAUGACACCUACGAAGUUUCCAUGAAUGAACCAUCCACCACGAAAAAAGUCGUUGCAUAGAAGUGUCACCUCCUACAAUGAAACAAAACAAGGUCUUGCAUGCAAGUUGAAAACAUGCAAGGACCUCGCUGUCGUCUAGUGGGAAGAUAAGGCAUUUCUAAUCAUUUUGCACAAGUCCGAUCAAUCUCUUGUCAUGUCAACACCUCACAUCCACCUAUUGGGUUCUUUAUACAUUAGUUAUUCUUCAAUAUGCUAACUCUUAUUGAAGGGUCUCGCCAGAUUAAUAUUUUAUUGUUAUCACGGGCUUAUCUACUUCAACAGGCUUUCCCUCUUCGAAGGGCUUCGCCAGAUUAAUAUUUCAACCUUAUCACAAGCCACAUCUACUUCAACAAGCUCGCUCUCAUUGAAAGGCCUCAUCAAAUUUUUAUUUAAACCUUAUCACAUGCCGCAUUUACUUAAACAAGCUCGUCUUCAUCAAACGGCUUUGCCAUAUUAAUAUUUCAGCCUUAUCAUAGGAAGCACCUUCUUCAACUAACUCACCUACCUUGAAGGGCCUUGCCAAUUCAUAUUUCAAGCUUAUCACAUCCUACAUCUUCAUCAACAGGCUUCGCUCAUUGAAAGGCCUUGUCAGAUUCAUAUUUCGACCUUAUCACAUGCUACAUCUUCAUCAACAGGCUUGUCCUCAUCGAAAGACUUCACUAGAUUCUUAAUUUAGUCUUAUCAUAGGCUGCAUCUUCAUCAGUAGGCUCAUCCUUACCGUAGAGCCUCACCAGAUUAAUAUAUCAGCCUUAUCAAGGUUCGACCUUUACAAUGGGCUUGUCCUCAUGCAAGGACCUCGUCCAAAUUCAAGUUCACAAGCUAUUUCAAAAAUUUACUUGUAUUAUACAUUUUAAGUCUACGAAUUUUAUAUAUAAUCAUGCUUUGACUUGAGGGGCUAUUGUGCUACGCUAUCCCUUCGCAAUUGAGAGAAUUACGAAAGCACAUAUUCAACCAACUUAAAAUAGUCAAUGCCUCUUCUAGUAAGGCUCUAUCAUGGCCAUGUGGUAGCCACAUAAAAAACAAUCUUGAGCUCACAUUCCUUGUUAUUCCACCCAUAUGGUAAAUUUUUGCAAAACCCCUAUGGUUGGGUCGAACCUAUAUGCAGGGGACGAACCCAUUUGAAGGAUCGAGCCUUUGUGAAUAAGUCAAUGUAGUUAGAGUCGUUGCAUUAGAAUUUCUACAAAGAAUCUUCCAUGAUUGACUGAUGUGACUUCUUAUUGCAACAGCCAUUUCUAUAUAUUAAUCUUCCACUCAUUCAUCGUUGCAUGGUCUAUUUGUGUGAGUUCAAAAGUUGCUUAUAAUUAAUUUUGUGUUCUUGAUUGACUAAGCGAAGAGUAAUAUUAAUUCUCACUUAUUAUUAUUAAAACAGAUAUAAACUUUCUAGUCUUGAAAUUUGAAUGGAGAUCUAGAUGAUGAAAAUUAAUUUCUAUAAUAAAGAAUUGAAAAGCUUCAGGGAUGAAUAUAUAAUAGUUGUGUGGAUGCAUAGUAUUUAAAUGAAUGAAUUUAUUAAGGAAAAUGUUGGAAUAUGAUGUGGACUAAAAUAGUUUUUUUUUUUUUUAAAUAUUAAUAGGGAUGAGUUUAAAGUGGGAUAGAUAUAUAAAAAAUGUGAACGGGAAUAGCGGCAUACUUUUUUUUUCUUGCAAAUUCCAAUUUCUAUUUUGUUCUUAAAUAUAUUUCUAUAUUCUGCAUUUUACUUACAGGAUCUUCUUUUGUGAGGGGAUGAUGACGUAGUGGAGCAAGCAUUGAAUUAUUAAGUGAAGUAUGAGUGCUUGAAGGAAGCGUAAAGAGGAGGCAGAACUUCUGAUUCUGUUUAAAUUGUUUCUCUCAUUUGCAUUUAUUCCUUCAGUUUUAAGUCCUUUUAAUUAUGCUUUGUUAAAUAAUUACCGUAAUCGGUUAGGGGGCUAAUUGUCUUUUAGUUAGUAGAGAGCCUCUCUUAUCUUUGCAUAAAAAUGUCAAAAUUUAGUUAUUCUCAAUGGUCCCCAACCCUCUCCCCCCAUAUAUAUAUAUAUAGGGGAAAGAAAACAAGAAAAGAUGAAAUUAAAAACAAAGAAUUUGAGUAAAGAGAAAUUUUAUUAAUAAUAGAAAUGUUACAAAAUUGAAAUUUUUGCAGAGAACAAACUUCUAUUGCCAAAUUCGAUCUGUCUUGAAUGAAGAAGAGGCUUCCUUCUUAUAGAGGAGUCCAAACUUCAAAUUUUUCUUCAUUUUGAAGAGUAUUGAAAAGCAGCGUCUUCUUUUGAGAAGUGGGGAACAAAAUCUUGAAUUACUUUUGGCAUCUUUUGACUAACUUUAUAAAAGUAGAAACUUUACUUUAAUAAAGUUAAUUUUGGCAUGCACAUCUUGAAAUGAAUGUCUUUUGCUUUUGUAACCCGGUAAUUUCUGAAUUCUUCAAGAAAAUUGGGUUCUUGUAGUCAUUUGAUUCUUACAACCUUCUCUUUUUCAUGUGCAAGAAAAUCGUCAUAACAUAAAUCAAUUAGGUCAUCACCAUUCUCUGUCUCUUGAGAAUUUUGGGUUUCUUUAUCUGAGUCUUGAGUAUUUGAUUUUUUAGAUCCAAAAUUAGAAAUUUGUUCAUAACUUUCUAAUAAUUCUUUCAGAUCUUUGCAUUUUGAUAACAUUGAAAUGAUCCUUUAUUUUUCAGUCAGAAAAUCUACCUGACUUUCUUGUUAUUUCUCAACAAUUUGUUUUGUUGAAUUUUGACCACCAUUUGACUUUAAAUCUUCUGGUAAUAUUUUGAGUGAAGAAUUCAUCAUUUUGAUUCUGAAGCAGAAAGAAAUCCCAGCAAAAGAUCCAUGAUACUUUCAUAUUGAAGGCAAAUUGAAACAAAGCAUUUUCAUGAGGCUUUAAAAAUGUUUUCGCCUCUCUUUUGAAGUAUUCAUAUCCUUGAAGAGUAAGACUCGGUAAAAUUUUCUCUCCAAGUCCAUGAUACACAAACCAAGUUUGAAACCAUUUUGAAAAAUGAGAACGACAAUUUUGAUUAAAAGGAAUGAACCAUGAAUGAGUAAUAUGUCUAAACCAAGCAUUCAAAUAAUCAAAAUAUUCAAAAGUUGAAAAAAUUGUUGAAGAGAGCUUAAGUCUCUUUUCUUCCAAAGGAUCUUGUCCCCAGUUUUCAUAAGACAAUACCCUGAGGAUACUGAUUUUUAAAUACAUUGUUUCUUCUUUAUUUUGAGAAUCUGGAGUAUGAGAAAUUAUGGCUAAUCCUGUUUUUAAAAGGAUAGUUUCAUAAUAAUCUCGGGAUUUUUUGACAUUUGAUGGCAUAAACCAGAAAUUUUUUGGAAAAAUAUUUGGAAGACAAUCUUCCAAGUUUGAGUAUCUAUUAAGCCAAGAUGUUACUAUAUCAAGACAAUUUUCAAAGAUACUUUUGCUGAAAUGUUAAAAAAAAUUUGGCAGAUUGAUUUGAGGAAGUUUUUCAGAACUUUGAACGGUUUUUUUGUAAUUUGAAGGGGUAGCUUUUUCUUUGAGUUUAUUUUGAUCAGGUUUUUUGAUAAGAGAAGAAAGGGUACUUGAAGAGGAUGAAGCUUCUUGAGCUUCUUUUUUGGAAUGAUCUUUUAAGAGAUCAUUAAUUGAGGAAAUUGGAGUAGAAUUUUUCUUUCUACUUUGUUUCUUUUGAAACAAAUUUUGAUCUUCUUCUUCAACUUGCUUCACCCAACUCAUUUUUACUCUUUUUAUGGAUGAACUCUUUUGUGAGAAAGUCUGCCAAGAAGUUUGAUUUCCCUUGUAUAUAAAGAAUUUCAAAAUCAAAACAGGACAAAAUAGCCUGCCAACUUGCAUAGAUUUGUUUGGAAACAAUAUUUUUCUCAUCUUUUUGUAAAACAUAUUUUGAGGCUUUACAAUCAGUUUUCAAAAUAAAUUUUUUGUUAAUAAGAUCGUCUUGAAAUUUUGAAAUACACAGUACUAUUGAAAGAAUUUCUUUUUUGAUAGUGGAGUAAUUCUUUUGAGGGCCGGUCUAUACACCACUGUGAUACUUAACUAACUGUUCUUGAGAUGACUCUAGUGAAAUUUGUUCUAACACACCACCAAACCCAAUAUUUGAUGCAUCUAUCUCAAUAAUAAUUGAGGCUUUGGGGUAAAGGAUUGAAAGACAUGGAAUAUUUUUGAUUGCUUUUUUGACCUUUUGAACUGCAACUAUGUGCUCAUGACUCCAUGGGUCAGGAUUGUUUUGUAAUCUUUUGAAUAAUGGGGCACAGAUUUGACGUAUACUUUUGACAAAAUUAGCCACAUAAUUGACACAACCUAAAAAAUGUUGCAAACUUUUUUUAUCAAUGAUUUCAUCAGGAAAUUUCUCAAUGAAAUUAAGACUUCUUUGAAUUGAAGUAAUAGUGUCAUAAUGAAGUAAUGUCCAAGAAAACGAAUUUUUGUUUGAAAUAAAACAAUUUUCUGAGUAGAAACUGCUAAGCCAUUUUUCUUUGUAAUAUGAAUGAAUGUAUGUAUAUACUUGAAAUGUUGCUCUAUAUUUUCAGAAAAUAUAAGAACAUUAUCAAUAUAAACAAUAAUGAAAUUUGAAAAAGGAUUAAAAAUGUUUUUCAUAAUUUUUUGAAAUUCAAAGGGAGCACUUUUGAGACCAAAAGGCAUAACAUUCCAUUCUUAUUGUUCGAAAAGAACAUUGAAAGCAAUCUUAUAUCUGUCUUCUUCUUUAAUUUGAAUAUACCAGAAACCUGACUUCAUAUCAAAUUUUGAGAAGAUAACAGCUUUACAAAGAUAAUCAAAAGAAUUUUUUGUUAAGGAAUAGGAUAUCUAAUCCAUUGAAGAGCAGUAUUAAGAUGUUUAUAAUUGAUAACCAAACGAGGAACUCCCCAUUUUAUUUUAGCAAAAUUAUUAACAUAGAAAGCUGAACAGCUCCAAGAAGAUUUACUUGGUCGGAUUAAAUCUUUUUCAAGUAAAUCAUCAAUUUCUUUGAUGCAAAAAUCAAGUAACUCUUUGUUCAUUUGAAUAGGACGAGAUUUUAUAGGAAUAUUUGAUUCAUGAAAAUUAGAAUUGUACGGAAGAGAAACAACAUGUUUCUUUCUAUCCCAGAAGGCAUUUGGAAUAGUUGAACAAAUUUCAUUUUCAAUUUUAUUUUGAAGUUUUGAAAUUUUUUUCUUGAAGAAAAGAUUCUUGCAAUAUUUUUUCCAUUUUUUGAAAUUGAAUUUCUUCUUUAAGAAAUUAAAUAUGAUUUCUUUUUAAAUUAAUAUUAUUGAUAAUUUUUUAAAUUGCAAUUUCUUUUAAAGAAUUGAUAUCUUUAUAAGAAGGAGGAUUUGUAAAUUCAAAAAAUAUUUUUCAACCAAACACUUUUGUAAUUAAUCCUUUAGCAUCGGCUUUAAAUAGAGUUGGACAAAACUUCCGAACCGAACCCGACGGUUCUUCAAGUUAAAUACCCGAACGGGUAUUUGAAUCAAGAACCGACGGGUAUGGUUCGGUUCUCUGUUUUAGGCCAAGACCCGAAGAACCGAAUAGGAACCGAAUCUUCGUAAUUUUUUUAAUUAAUUUAUUUUAAAUAAGUAAAAUUAUUUUAUUUUUCCUACAUAAAUUUGUUAACUAGUUAAUUUAGUUCAAACCACAAAAUAUGAUUUUUCCUAUUUCUAAUUUUCAGAUCAAAAUCAACUUAAUCAAAUUGAUCUCAAUUUUAUCCAAAUUUGGUAUUCUACUGUAGUAUCGUUUCUACCGGAGAAAAUCGAAUUAAAGCUCUACAAUAUCUUUUUUAAUUAUUUUGAGCUCGCUAUCUUUCUCUUUCUAUGAUUUUAAUAGUCAAAUUUAUGAAGAAUUCAGUAAAGAGAUACGUGAAACACAUAAGAUUGAACUACAUUAUUUUGUAAGAGCUAAUAUCGAACAUAUCAUUAAUUAAAUUAACGUAACUUUGUAUAUAUUAAAAAAAUUAAUUAUAAUACGGAACCGAAUGGAACCGAGUCGGACUGAACCAAAUCGAAUGGAACCGAACCCGAACGGUUCCUUAAUUAAAUUUGGAUCCAAUGGUUUCACUUACUAAAUACCCGAAAAUUUCGGGUCCGUUUGGUUCUCGUUAGAAUCAAACCGUACCAAACCAUGUCCAGCCUUAGCUUUAAAAGGAUAAAUUUGAACAAUAAAAGGUGUACCAAAAAUAUCUUCUUGAUCUAAAUCUUUUACAAAAUAAAAAAUAUUUUUGAAACAAAUAUUUGAAUUGCAAACAUGAGCUUUUGAAAUUUUAUAAUUAAUAUUAAAUUUUUUUCCACUAGCACCAUAAAGACACUCAGUGAUUUUUUCAAAGUAUUUUGUAGGAAUUAAUCAUUCUUUAAUACAAUUUUGAUCUGCUCCUGAAUCAAUAAAAACCCUAGUUGUAAAUUUGAAUUCUUUAUUUACAACAAUGAUCAUAUUGCAAUACCAUUUUUGAAGUUGAAUUCGGUUAAUAACAUUAACAUUUUCUUCUUCAGAUUUAAGAAUUUUGAAAUCAGAAUCUAAUAAGCAAUCAGAUGAAGAUUUAGAAUGUUUUGAAGAUCGCUUGGAAGAAACUUUUGAUUUUCCUUUGAAUUUUGAAUAAAAUUCAUCAUUUAAGUCUUUUGCUUUCAUACAAACGACUUCCAUGUGAAUUUAUUUGACUUGACUUUCAAGAUAUGAAAUUUGAGUUUUCAUACCUUUAAUUUCUUUUUGAAGGUCAGGAAUGGAAGGUUUAGAACCUUUUGAAAAUUCUUUUUGAGUACGUUUGAGAAUAUGAUUAAUAUUGAUAUCAUCAAAAUCUUGUUUUGAAAUAGAAGGUAAAAGGGAGGAGAAUUUUUUCUUGAGAUCAAGAUUAUCAAUCCUAUCAAAAAUAUCUUGAAUAAUCUCUUCUUCUCGAGAUAAAACAUUCAUAGUUUUACAACCACGAAUUUCUUUAUCUGAGUUUGAAGAAUUAUCACAGGAAUGAAGGGUAGAUAAUCAGAAUUUUCUUGAUCAAGAAAAACUUGUUCUAAUUUUGAGUUAGACUCAUUAUCAGAACUUGAUUAAAUGAGAUUGAGAAGUUGGGUUUUAGUAUCUUCAUCAAUUUGAAGAGUAUUAAUUUUCUUUUUGAGUGGACAUUUAUUGGAAUAAUGACCAGUCUUAUUACAUUUGCAAUAAGUAAUACUUGGAGAAUUUUUUGAAAUUUUCUUCUUUGAAAAAUGUUUUCUUUUUGAAAAUUUUCUUUUAGAAAAUUUCCUAUUUUGAUUUUUUUUUAGAUUUUAAAGAAGAAGGAAUGAUUUUUUCAAAACCAAUUGUUCAUAGAAAGAUCCAAGAUUUUUUUGACUUUCUGACUUUUCUGUUUUCAAUUUGGCUUUGAGUUUUAAAUCAUUGCACAAAUUUAAAGCUUCACAAUUAAUAUAAUUGAUAAUUUCACCUUAUGUAAGUGUUUGAAGGUCAUCAAAUUCUUUAAAAAUAGAAUUUUUGACUCUUUCUGCAAAGAGUUUUGGAAGACCUGAAAUAAAUUUUUCUUUCCAAAAAGAUUGUUGACAAUUUUCUCUAAUCAUGAUACGAGAUAAAAACAUAUCUUUAUACCAUCGAAAAUCUUGUAGUUUUGGACAUCUUAAAUUUAUUAAAAUGUCAUUUUGCAUUUAAACAAUAUUUUCGGGAGUACCAAUAAAAUGUUUGAUAAUAGUUAAACUAAGAACAGAAAAACUAUCACUGAUUUCAUUUCCAUUUUCAUCAUGAAUAAUAUUAUUAUUUUCAUCACGUUUAACAGCAGAAAAGAUAAUAUCCUUCUCAGUUUGAGAAAUGUAAUUAUCCCACUAUUGACCAAGUUGUCCAGUGAAUCCAAGAACAAUAUUAUUGGUAGCAUCUCUUCUUGAAGUACCUUUUGCAAGAUAAGUUUUAUAACACAUGGUCAUUUGUCCCAUAAAAUUGAUUAUUUGAUAUUCGGUAAGUCCAUCGAGAUUCUAUUUGACACCGGAGUUACCAUCAUAUGAUUUUUGAGGUUUAGCUUUUUCUUCAGAAAGUUGGUUUGGGAAUGAAGGACGUGGAUAAAAUUUUGGAAGAUUUUGAUAAUCAAAUUUCCUCAAUUUGUUAAUUGAAUCAAAUUUUUCAUCAAUAAAUUGAGAUUCUAUUUCAUCAAUGGUAUUGAUAUUUUUAGAGACAUGAAAAUUUUUUAAUUGACUAGAGAAUUCAUAAAGAAUUUCACUUUCAGUUUGAAAAGUUGAAGAUUUUCCAAAUUGAGGAAUAAUAUCAUUGCUUUUGAAAAUUGAAGAGGAAGAGGAUGAUGCUUUUGAAAAAUUCUUAUCUUUACUAUUACUUUCUCUAGAUUCUUUAAAAUAAUCUUUUGAAGAAGUAAUAUUCUCAGAUUCAGAAUUUGAUUCGAUUCUAUUGAGCUAAGAACACAUAGAUUGAAGAACAACAUUAGUAUAAUUGUUCUGAGAUUGAAUAUUUUUGAUAUCCUUAGUAACAAUCUAAGAUUCAUCAGAUCGUUCUUUAGGAAUUCUUUUGAGUGGAGAUGCAAGGAUUUUAGUUUUUCCAUGAGGAAUAACUAUUUCUUGCAUUGGAGGAUGAAUAGAUUGGAAAGUAUUUCCUUCUGGAAUUUUCCAAGUAUUAAUAUGAGUUUUUGAAGUAAAAUUUUUUGUCCUUUCUGGUUUUUUACCAAAAACUUCGAAUUGAGUCAAAUCAUAGAAAUUUAAAUCAGUAGAAGAUUUAAAAUAAUCUUCCCAAUAAGAUUCUUUUUGUUUUAAAGAAAAACUUUCUCUAAAAAGUCUUCUGAAAUUUUUAACACAAAUAUCUUGAUCAUAUUUGAAUUCUUUCUUCUAUCAAUUUCAGAAGAAAUAACAUUACAUUGAUUAUCAAGAUUGGAAAGAGGAACCAUAUCUGAAAAAGUUGGUGAUUCUGGUUGAUUAUCAUCUUUUUUAUAUUCAUUUUGAUAAUGAGGUUUUGGAAUAAUAGGAGUAAAAUCUGUUCCUUUAUAUAAAGAAUGAAAAGAUGAUCUAGGUUUCUCUUCAGACCUAGUAAAAAAGGAUUUUGCAGAAUUAGAUCUUUGAAUCUUUGAGGAUGAACCUUUAAGAAGAAUCUUAGCUUUUCCAUCUGGUAAAGUAAGAAUUUGAUUCGGAGUUGUUUGAUUUUGAGCAGGAACAGGUGCUUGAACAUUAUCAAAAUUUCAUUUGAGUCCUCGAGACUCAAGAUUCCAUGGAAUUCUUUUUGGGAUUUUGACAUUUGAAUGAAAAAGAUUAACUUCAACUAAAAGACUUUCAUCUCUUGGUGAAGAAUGAAGAGCUUCAAUAUUGAGUUGAGUGUUCGUAAGUUUAUAAUAUACUCUGUAUAUUACAACAAAAGCAUUUGAUCUACUAUUAAAUUCAAGAUUUUUAGUUUGAAUAUGAAGAUUGAGAGAAUUGAGAAUUGCUCCAUCAGUGAGUUUGAUAGAAAAAUUUGGAUAACAGUUUGAAAAUACUGGACUACUUUCUAGAUUUGAUUCUAGAAGUGAAAGUAGUGAGUUUUCAAAAUUGAAGUGUCUCUUAUCUCUAAGAGUCAUAAGAAUUGGAACAUCAAGACCAAGUCUAAACAAGGGAUUGACCGCUAUGUGAUCUAAUCCAACAUGAAAAUAUUUAAAUUUCUUCUUGUGGGAUUCAAUAGCUUCUUUUGUAAGUAAAUUAAUGAAAGAAUUUUGAUUAUUGAUUGAAACAGUUUGUUCAAUAGUUUUGAUAACAUAAUUUUGAGAAAAAAAAUCAAAUUUUCCUAUUUCAUAGGUCGUAUGUUUGUCCAUCUUUGGAAUAGUCCAAUUUUGAAAACGUUGUUCAAUUUGAGCAAUUUGAAUUUCAUGAGAAUUUGAAUCAUUUGAUUCAGAUAAUGAUGCUGAUGCAUGAUCAAAUUCUUCUUCUGUUUGAAAAAUAUUUGUUCUAUUCUCAUUUGAUUGAUUUUCUUGUCUAUUUCUAGAUUUAGAUCUCCUUAACCAAUUAGUUACUGAAGACAUAAUUGAAUAAAAAUGAAAUUAAUGUGAAACAAAGUAAAGACAAAACAAUAAGAAAGACAAGUUCUCACCAAGCCUACAAUGGGACCACCCUUCAACGCCUACACGGGCAACACGGGCUGAUCAAAACUUAACAACAGACGUCCAGAUUUGAACAAGAUUUUCCUAAAUAUUUUGUGCCCAUACACACACACACAUAUAUAUGUAUAUACAUAUGUAUAUCUAUAGUGACAAGGUACAAAUGUUUGAAAAUGAAGAAAAUAUUAUUGAUAAAUAAAAAUUGAAAUACAAAUAUUGAGAUGAACAUUGAAUUAUACGAUUGAAAAUAAAAUUUGAAAGAUAAAGACGGUGAUUUAUGUCCGCUAAAUCAACUCUCUUGAGAGCUAUACUGAAUAAAAUCUAAUGAGAGAUGCACUCAAUAAACUCUGAAGAGAUCUUAAACACUUGAUUUGUUUUUAUACUUGAUAUCUUGAGCUCCAAUCUUGAAAAAGAAUUUUGAAUAAUUGCACAUUUUGAAACUUUUGCACCUUCCACUUGGAAAAUUUGGAAAGUAGUCAUCAUACUUUUCCUUUGAUUGAAAACCAUUGUCUUCUCUUUUGCAAAAGUAGGCAUCAACUUUAGUCAUAGCUCUUGACUAAAAUUCAUUGAUUGAUCAUCACCUUUUGAAUUUGUUUGCUGGUCACUUUUGAAUCUUGAAACAUUUGCUCAACUUUUGUCUUAAAAAUUAAGCAAAUUAUUGAGAUUGAAUAAUUCUUCAUCAACAUAACUGAGACUAGGCCCUUGAAAAGGUUCUUCAUUUCUUUGAUAAAUAUCAUCAAAACAAUCUUGAGACAUUGAUAGUUCAUCAUCAAAUAUUUUCUUGAUCAAAGGAACUUGAGUUUGAGUCUACUUUUCUUCAUCAGUAAAAAUGAUGUAAUGUCCAUCAUGAAACAUUAAUUGCAAUCUUGCAUCAUCAAUAUUUGUUCCAAGCUUAUUCUUUGCAGCAAGAAUGGAUUUUGAUCUAAUUUUUGUAAGAAUUUCUCUUACAUCAUUUUUGAGUAUGAUAUCUUGGUCUUCAAGACUGUAAGCUUUUGAAGAGAUAUUUGAAUUUGGCAUUGAAAGAUUAUUUGACAAAGUACUCCGGAUAGUAACAAUUUAUUUACCUGGAAAAUACUCAUUAGUAAAAAGAGUAUCAUUGAAUUUGACUUCAUCUACAAUCCAUUCAGGAAGAAGGUUGAUAAUUCAAUUUUGAGGGUUUUAACUUUGAAUUUAAAGAGAUGAUUAAUAACUCUUUUAAGAGAGCUAUUAAAAAGAGAAAUAUCUGUUUUCGAAUCAAUAUAAAUUGAGAAAAUAAAUCCCUAUUCAAUCAUUUGAUGAAUUUCUUCAUUAACGACGUUAAUGAUUGACGUAUCUUUGAGGGUAAAAUAAAGUUUGUGAUAACUUUCACAAUUUGCAAAACAAUUGAAAUAAAAGUUAUCAAAAAUUCUAAAAAUAAUUUGUUUGAAUUUUUUUAGCACAAGUAGAGUCUCUAUUGAUAAUAUUUUGAUAAAUGUCAUCAGGAAGUUUUAAGACUUCCUUCAUAAGAUUUCUUCUAUUCCUUUUCAAUAGGAAUAUAUUUUGAGAAGAAGAUUCUUUUGAAAUAUUUUGAAAAAUAAUUCUUUCCUUUUUCUUAGAAUUUUUUUGAAAAUUUUUGAUAAUUUUGUUACUACGGUCAAAAAUUUCAGUAGUACUUUUUGAGUCUUCUAAUAAUAACCUUAUUACUUCUUUGAUAAUAAGUAGUAAGAAUAUCAUCAAGAUUAUCCUUUUGAAAUUUUAAAAGUCUUAUAUGAGUUUUAAACUCAUAGAAUUUUGAUUCAGAUCCUGAAUAGGAAUCUGAUUAAUAAGAUUUGCCUUUGUUCGAAGAAUUUGAUUCUUUGAUUGAGAACGGUUUAUAUCUUGAAAUAUUUUUGUCUUCCAAAGACUUUGGAGAAGAUCCAGAAAGGAGAAAAAAAUCGUUUGUAGUCAUAACUCUCAUCGAAGAAUUUGCAGGAGAAAAGUCUUACAUGAUAGUUUGAAUUUCAUUAAAUAAAUAGUGCCUUGAGAUGAAAUAAAAACAAAAUAUCUUGUCAUUUAGAAAUUUGAAAAAAUUGAAAAAUACUUGACUUGACAUAUUUGGAAUCUGCUUUAACACCCCCACCAAAGCCUAAAUCAGAGGCAUCGGUUUCUACAAUAAUUGAAGUAGUAGGGUCAAGAAUUGAUAAUCAUGGAAUAUUUUUGACAACUUUUUUGAUUUUUUGGACAGCUAAUGUGCACUCGUGUGACCAUGGGUCUGGGCUCUUUUGUAAUCUUUUGAAAAGAGGAGUACAAAUCAACCUUAUCUCUUAGAUAAAGUCAUCGGCAUAAUUGACACAACCAAGGAAUCUUUGAAGAGAAGAUUUGUCCAAAAUUUCAUCAAGAAAUUUUUCAUUAAAAUCUAAACUUCUCUGAAUUGGAAUAAUUGAACCAUUUUGAAUAUUAUGACAGAAAAAUCUUAUCUUUGUUUGACAAAAAAUAAUCUUUUUAGUAGAAACUGCUAAACCAUUUUUCCUGAUAACAUGCAUGAAUGUAUUGAUAUGCUUGAAAUAUUGUUCUAUACUUUUAGAAAAUAUAAGAACGUCAUCAAUGUAAAUAAUGAUAAAUUUGAAAAAUGAUUGAAAAUAUCAUUCAUGAUUUUUUUGAAAUUUAGAAGGAGUGUUCUUGAGACCAAAAGGCAUAACAUUCCAUUCGUAUUGACCGAAAGGAACAUUGAAUGCAGUUUUGUACUUAUCUUCUUCUCUAAUUUGAAUCUGCCAGAAACCUGAUUUUAUAUCAAAUUUUGAAAAGAUAACAGCUUUGAUUAAUCUAUUAAAAAGAUCUUUCUUUUUUGAGGAAGUGAAUAUCUAAUCUAUUGAAGAGCAUUAUUGAGAGGCUUGUAAUUGAUAACAAGACAUGGAGUACCACGUUCAAUUUCUGCCGAAUUAUUGACAUAGAAUGCUAAGCAACUCCAAGGAGAUUUGCUCAAACGAAUUAAACCUUUGUAAGUAAAUCAUUGAUUUUCUUGAUACAAAAAUCUAACAAUUCUUUGUUCAUUUGAACAUGACGAGAUUUUGUAUGAAUAUUUGAUUCAUGAAAAUCAGAAUUGUAUGGAAGAGAUACCACAUGUUUCUUAAGAUCCCAAAAAGCAUUUGGCAUAGUAGAACAAAUCUCUUUUUCCAUUUGUCUUUGAAGAUUUGAAAUUUUUUUUUGAAUUGAAGGAUUUUGCAAUUAUUCUUCAAUUCUUUAAAAUUUAAUUUCUUCUUUGAGAAAUCGAAUAUGAUUUUUCUUGAAAUUAAUAUUAUUGACAAUUUUAGAAAUUGAUGCUUCUUUUAAAGAAUUAACACCUUUAUAAGAAGGAGGAUUUGUAAAUUUGAAACAAAUUUCUUGAUCAAAUAUUUUUGUAGUUAAUCCUUUUGAAAUAGCUUGAAAAUGAUAAAUUUGAACAAUAAAAAGAGUACCAAGAAUUACUUCUUGAUCUAAAUCUUUUACAAGAUAAAAAAUAAUUUUGAAACAAAUAUUUGAAUUACAAACAUAAGCUUUUGAAAGUUUAUAUUGAAUAUUCAGUUUCUUACCACUAGCGCCAUAAAAACGCUCAGUAAUUUUUUCAAAAUAUUUUGUAGGUAUCAAUCCUUCACGGAUACAAUUUUGAUUCGCUCCAGAAUCAAUAAGGACUCUAGACGUGAAUUUGAAUUCUUUAUUGAUUACAAUAGUCAUAUUACAGUACCAUUUUUUAAGUUGAAUACGAUUAAUAACAUUAAUCAUUUCUUCUUCAAAUUGAAUAUUUGAAGGAAUGAGAGGAUUUGAUUCUUCACCAGAAGAACUGGAAGAAGAUGAAUAAGAAAGAGUCUUUGAAUUUAACUUCUUAUCUUGAGUUUUGAGAAGAGAAACUUCCAUCCUAACAUCUUUCAUUUGACAUUCAAGAAUAGAAAUUUGAGAUUUUAUGGAAUUGACUUACGAUUUUAAAUCAGAACUAGAAGAUUUUGAAGUUUUAAAACGAUUUAAAACUUUUUGCAUAUUGAAAGGUUCAGCCUUUGAAUUUGAAUUAAGAAGGGAAUUAAACUUAUUUUUGCGCUGUGGAUCUUCAGUUUGAUCAACAAUCUCUUUAAUGAGUUCUUUUUGUUAAGUAAGAACAUUUAUAGUUUUACAACCACAAAGUUCUUUACUUUGACUUGAAGAUGAUUGAGAGUUUGAACUAGAUUUAGCAUCUGAAUCUUCUUGAUUUUGAUAAACAUGUUCCAACUCUGAGCUUAACUCAUUAUCAGAACUGGAAUUUGAAUCAAUAAGAUUGAAAAGUUGAAGCUUAACAACUUCUUCAAUUUGAAGAUUAUUAAUCUUGCCUUUGAGAGAACACUUAAUAGAAUAAUGCCCAAAUUUUUGACAUUUUCAACAAGUAACAUUGCUUUUUUUCUUGAAAAUCUUUUCUUUUAAAAUUUCUUUUUGGAAUAAUUUUUUGAAUAAGAAGGUUUUUGAAAAUACUUUUCUUUUGAAUAAACUUUUCUUUUUGAAAAAUGUUUUUUUUCGUUUUUUAAGGAGAAAUAAUUUUCUCAAAUUCAUAUUGUUCACAGAAUGAUCCAAGUUCUUUGCGACUAUCUAAUCUUUCUGUUUGCAAUUUGGAUUUAAGCUUGAGUUCAUUACAGAGAUCUAAUCCUUCUCUAUUAAUGAAGCAAAUCAAUUCUCCGUAUGAAAGAACAUCAUAAGGAAUAUUAUUUGAAUGUUCAUUUUUUAUAGAAUUUUUAACUCUUUUAGAAAAUAAUUUUGGAAGUCUAGAUAAAAAUCUUUCUUUCCAAUAAGUUUCAUUACAAUAUUUUCGUAAAAAUACACAUGAUAAAAAUAUGUCUUUAUACCAACGAAAAUCUUGUAAACUUGAACAAAUUAAAGUUAAUAAAAUACCUGAAAUAUUUUUCUAAAACAUUUGUUGGAGAUCCAAUAAAAUAUUUAAUAAUACAAUAAAUUAUUGACAAUCAUUUGAACCAUAAGGUUUUAGAGCUUGAGCAAUUUGCAUUUUUUCUUGUUUAGUAAUAUAAUUGAACCACCAAUUAUUAAUUUAAUCAGAGAAUCCUUGAAUAAUAUUGUUUUUUUUGCUCAAUUGGAGAAAUUUCUUCUUGAAUAUAGAUGUUAUAAAUAGCAACCAUACUUUCAAGAAUUUAAAAUUUUAGAUAUUCAGUUAAACCAUCUAUAUUCCAGAUAGUUAUUCUUGAACCAAAAAAUGUUGUAGGCAUUUUAGCCUUUUUGUUUGAAAAGUAAAUUUGGAACAGUAUUUUUUGGAUAAUAAGGAGGAAUUUUUUAAAAUUGAACUUUUUUCCCUUGAAGCUUAUUGAUUUGAGGAACUUCAUCAUCAAUAAAUUGAGAUUCAAUAUCAUCAAUAGUAUUGAUGUUAUUUGAAGUAGAGGAUGAUGAUAUUUUUUAUAACUGAGUAGCAAGUUCUUUUAGAACAUUAAUCUCAAUUUUGAUACCAAUUUUGUGUUUAGCCUCAUGCCUGUUAAUUAAAACUGACUCUAUUGACUUAAUACCUUUUGAAAAGGAUGUUGUCUCAGAUUCAUAAUUUAUUUCAAUUCUGUUAAGCUGAGAACAGACAGAUUGAAGAACUACAUUAGUGUAGUUAUUUUGAGCUUGAAUAUUUUUGAUAUCUUUAACAACAACUUGAGAUUCAUCAUGUCGUUAUUCAAAUACCUUUUUGAGAGGAGAAGCAAGAAUUUCUGUGUUUCCAUGUAGAACCACAAUUUCUUGCAAAGGAGGAUGAGGAGAUUGAAUAUUCUCACCAAAAGGAGUUUUCCAAGUCUUCUGUGGAAUAUUAGUAAGUUGAAUAGAUUUUUCUUUCUUUGAUUUUGAAGAAAUCUUUGAAAAAGUAGGUUUUUUUAUUGAAAACAUUGAAUAAGCACAUUCAGAAAAAUUUAAAUCUUCAGGGAAUUCUUCAAAUUCUUCCCAAUAAGAUUCUCGUUCUUCUUUUGAAAAACUUUGAUGAAAUAUUUUUCGAAAACUUUUAACAUCAGGAGUUUGAUCAGUUUUGAAUUCAUUUCUUCUGUCAAUCCUAGAAGAAAUAUCGUUAGUUUGAUGAUCAAGCCUUUCAUUUUGAGUAGAAAACAUAUCAAAAAAAAGUUGGAGAAGCAGGUUGUUCUGAUUCUUCUUCUUUUUCUGUAUCUUUUUCAGAAUAUUAAGGUUUUAGAAUAUUUGGAGUAAAAUCAACACCUGAAAGAGAAGAUGUUAAGAAUCUUGCAGAUUGAUAAGAAGAUCUAGGUUUUAUCUUCAGAUCUCGAAGAAUAAGAUCUUUGAAACCUUUAGGAAGAUCCUUUUAACGUUAUUUGUCGUUUCCAUCUGGAAAAGUAAGAAUUUGAUUUGGAAUUGUUUGAACAGGGCAGGAAUAUGAUUUUGAACAUUUUCAAAAUUUCAUUCUAGUCCAUGACUUUGAAGAUUCCAAGAAAUUCUCUUAGAAAUUAUGGUGUUUGAAUGAAAAGGAUUACAUUCAACUAAAAUACUUUCAUCUUUAGGAGAUGAACGUAAAGCAUCAAUAUUGAGUUGAGUAUUCAUGAGCUUGUAAUAUAUCAUGUAUAUUACAGCAAAAGCAUUUGAAUGAUCAUCGAAGUUGAGAUUUUUGGUUUGAAUAUGGAGAUUUAGAGCAUUAAGAAUAGCUCCAUCAUUAAGAUUAAUUGAAAAUUUUGAAUAACAAUCUGAAUAAAUUGGACCACUUUCUAGAUUUAAUUCUAGAACAGAUAAUAAUGAAUUUUCAAAUUUGAGAAGUCUCUUAUCUCGAAGAGUUAAGAGAAUUGGAAUGUCUAACCCAAGCCUAAACAAAGGUUUGACAGUAAUUUGAACUAAUCCAACAUGAAGGUAUUUAAAUUUCUUCAUGUGGGAUUCAAUUGAUUCUUUUGAAAAUAGAUUGAUAUGAGCAUUUUGAUUUUUUAUAGAUAAUGUUUGUUCAAAAGUUUUGAUAACAUAAUUUUGAGUAAAAUCAAACUUUCCAAUUUCAUAGAUAUAAUUCUUUUCUACCGUUGGAAUUGUCCAACUAUGCAAUCUUUGUUCUAUUUGAGCAAUUUGAAGUUCAUUACUAUUGAAAUCAUUUGAUGCUAAUGAUGCAUAUGAUUGAUCAAUUUCUUCUUCAUUUUAAAAAACACUUGAAAUAUUUUCAGAUCUAUUUCUAGACCUCUGAAACCAAUUUGAAAAAGAGGAUAUAAUUAAAUUCAAUGAAAUUAUAACAAUUUACCACAAUAAAAACAGUUAAAUAAGAUAGACUAAUUCUUAUCAAGCCUACAAACGGGACCACCCUAACACGCCUUCCCCGGCUAACAACAGGCUGACCAACGUUAAUUCAGUAGACAUCCUGAAAUUAAAUCAGGUUCUCCUACUUAAACAUUGCAUAUGGUGAUAAACCACUACAAUCUCACCUCACUCUAUUAUAGCUCUGAUACCAAAAUGACCCAGGGUAUAGAAGAGUAGAAGUGAAAAAGAACAAAUAUUUGAAAAUGAAGAAAAUAUUAUUGAUAUAUAAAAAUUGAAAUACAAAUAUUGAGAUGAACUUUGAAUUACACGAUUGAAAAUAAAAUUUGAAAGAUAAAGACAGUGAUUUAUCUCCCGCUAAAUCAACUCUCUUGAGAGCUAUACUGAAUAAACUCUAAUGAGAGUUUGAAAAUGAAGAAAAUAUAAUUGAUAUAUAAAAAUUAAAAUACAAAUAUUGAGAUGAACUUUGAAUUACACAAUUGAAAAUAAAAUUUGAAAGAUAAAGACAAUGAUUUAUCUCCCGCUAAAUCAACUCUCUUGAGAGCUAUACUGAAUAAACUCUAAUGAGAGAUGCACUCAAUAAACUCUGAGGAGAUCUUGAACACUUGAUCUACUUUUAUACUUGAAAUCUUGAGUUCCAAUCUUGAAAAGAAUCUUGAAUAAAAUGACCCAGGGUAUAGAAGAGUAGAAGUGAAAAGUAACAAAUGUUUGAAAAUGAAGAAAAUAUAAUAAAAAUUGAAAUACAAAUAUUGGGAUGAACUUUGAAUUACACGAUUGAAAAUAAAAUUUGAAAGAUAAAGACAGUGAUUUAUCUCCCGCUAAAUCAACUCUCUUGAGAGCUAUACUGAAUAAACUCUAAUGAGAGAUGCACUCAAUAAACUCUGAAGAGAUCUUGAACAUUUGAUCUGCUUUUAUACUUGAAAUCUUGAGCUCCAAUCUUGAAAAAAGAUCUUGAAUAAUUGCACCUUUUGAAACUUUUGCACCGUCCACUUGAAAAAUUUGAAAAGUAGUCAUCAUACUUUUCCUUUGAUUGAAAAUCAUUGUCUUCUCUUUUGCAAAAGUAGGCAUCAACUUUAGUCAUAGCUUUUGACUAAAAUUCAUUGAUUGAUUAUCACCUUUUGAAUUUGUUUGCUCGUCACUUUUGAAUCUUGAAACAUUUGCUCAACUUUUGUCUUAAAACUCAAACAAAUUAUUGAAAUUGAAUAACUAGGCCCUUGAAAAGGUUCUUCAUUUCUUUGAUAAAUAUCAUCAAAACAAUCUUGAGACAUUGAUAUUUCAUCAUCAAAUAUUUUCUUGAUCAAAGGAACUUGAGAUCGAGUCUUUUUUUCUUCAUUUGUAAAAAUGACAUAAUGUUCAUCAUGAAACAUGAAUUGUAAUAUUGAAUUAUCAAUAUUUGUUUCAAGCUUUUUCUUUGCAGUAAGAAUGGAUUUUGAUCUAAUUUUUAUAAGAAUUUCUCUUACAUCAUUUUUGAGUAUGAUAUCUUGAUCUUCAAGACAAUAAGCUUUUGAAGAGAUAUUUGAAUCUCGCAUUGGAAGAUUAAUUGACAAAGUACUCCUGAUAGUAACAAUUUGUUUACCUGGAAAAUACUCUUCAAUAAAAAAGAGUAUCAUUGAAUUUGACUUCUUCGACAAUCCAUUCAGAAAGAAUGGUUGAGAAUUCAAUUUUGAGGGUUUUAAUUUUGAAUUCAAAGAGAUAAUAUUAACUCUUUUGAGAGAGCUAUUAAAAAGAGAAAUAUUUGUUUUUGAAUCAAUAUAAAUUGAGGAAAUAAAUUUUCAUUCAAUCAUUUGACGAAAUUCUUCAUUAACAACGUUAAUGAUUGAAGUACCUUUGAGGGUAAAAUGAAGUUUGUGAUAACUUUCACAAGUUGCAAAACAAUUGAAAUAAAAGUUAUCAAAAAUUCUAAAUAUAAUUUGUUUAAAUUUUUUAGCACAAGUAGAGUCUCUAUUGAUAAUAUUUUGAUAAAUGCAUUAGGAAGUUUUAAGACUUCCUUCAUAAGAUUUCUUUUAUUCCUUUUCAAUAGGAAUAUAUUUUGAGAAGAAGGUUCUUUUGAAAUAUUUUGAAAAAUAAUUCUUUCCUUUUUCUUAGAAUUUUUCUGAAAAUUUUUGAUAAUUUUGUUACUAUUGUCAAAAAUUUCAGUAAUAUUUUUUAGACAUCUAAUAAUAUCCUUAUUACUUCUUUAAUAAUAAGUAGUAAGAAUAUCAUCAAGAUUAUCCUUUUAAAUUGAAAAGUCUUAUAUGAGUUUUAAACUCAUAGAAUUUUGAUUUAGUUCCUGAAUAGGAAUCUAAUUGAGAAGAUUUACCUUUGUUCAAAAAAUUUGAUUCUUUGAUUGAGAACAGUUUAUAUCUUGAAACAUUUUUGUCUUCCAAUGACUUUGAAGAAGAUCUAGAAAGGAGAAAAAAAUCUUUUGUAGUCAUAACUCUCAUUGAAGAAUUUGCAGGAGAAAAGUCUUGCAGGAUAGUUUGAAUUUCUUUGAAUAAAUAGUGCCUUGAGAUGAAAUAAAAACAAAAUAUCUUGUCAUUUCGAAAUUUGAAAAAAUUGAAAAAUACUUGACUUGACAUAUUUGGAAUCUGUUUUAACACCCCCACCAAAGCCUAAAUCAGAGGCAUCGAUUUCUACAAUAAUUGAAGUAGUAGGAUCAUGAAUUGAUAAGAAUGGAAUAUUUUUGGCAGCUUUUUUUAUUUUUUAAACAGCUAAUGUGCACUCGUGAGACCGUGGGUCUGGGCUCUUUCGUAGUCUUUUGAAAAGAGGAACACAAAUCAACCUUAUCUCUUUGAUAAAGUCACAGACAUAAUUGACACAACCAAGGAAUCUUUUAAGAGAAGAUAUGUCUAAGAUUUCAUCAGAAAAUUUUUCAUUAAAAUCUAGACUUCUCUGAAUUGGAAUAAUUGAACCAUUUUGAAUAUUAUAACCUAAAAAUCUUAUCUUAGUUUGACAUAAAACAAUCUUUUUAGCAGAAACUGCUAAACCAUUUUCUUGAUAAUAUGCAUGAAUGUAUUGAUAUGUUUAAAAUGUUGUUCUAUACUUUCAGAAAAUAUAAGAAUAUCAUCAAUGUAAACAAUGAUAAAAUUUGAAAAAGGAUUGAAAAUAUCAUUCAUAAUUUUUUGAAAUUCAGAAGGAGCGUUCUUGAGACCAAAAGGCAUAACAUUUCAUUCGUAUAGAUCGAAAGGAACAUUAAAUGUAGUUUUGUACUUAUCUUCUUUUUUAAUUUGAAUCUACCAAAAACCUGACUUCAUAUCAAAUUUUGAGAAGAUGACAGCUUUGAAUAAUCUAUUCAAAAGAUCUUUCUUUUGAGGAAGUGGAUAUCUAAUCCAUUGAAGAGCAUUAUUGAAAAGCUUGUAAUUGAUAACAAGACGUGGAGUCCUGUGUUCAAUUUCAACCGAAUUAUUGACAUAGAAUGCUGAGCAAUUCCAAGGAUAUUUGCUCGGACGAAUUAAAUCUUUGUAGUGGUUUAUCACCAUAGGCACUGUUUAAGUAGGAGAACCUCAUUUGAUUUCAGGAUGUCUACUGAAUAGACGUUGGUCAACCCAUUGUUAGUCGGGGAAGACGUGUUAGGGUGGUCCCGUUCAUAGGCUUGGUAAGAAUUAGUCUAUCUUAUUUAACUGUUUUUAUUGUUGUAAAUUUUUAUAAUUUCAUUGAAUUUAAUUAUGUCUUCUUUUACAAAUUGGUUUCAGAGGUCUAAAAAUAGAUCUGAAAAUAUUUCAAAUAUUUUUCAAAAUGAAGAAGAAAUUCAUCAAUCAUCUGCAUCAUUAGCAUCAAAUGAUUUCAAUAGUCAUGAUCUUCAAAUUGCUCAAAUAGAACGAAGAUUGCAUAACUGGAUAAUUUCAAAGGUAGAAAAGAAUUCUAUCUAUGAAAUUGGAAAGUUUCAUUUUACUCAAAAUUAUGUUAUCAAAACUUUUGAACAAAUAUUAUUUAUAAAAAAUCAAAAUGCUCAUGUAAAUCUAUUUUCAAAAGAAUCAAUUGAAUCCCACGGGAAGAAAUUGAAAUAUCUUCAUGUUGGAUUAGUACCUAGAAUUACUUCUUGAUCUAAAUCUUUUACAAGAUAAAAAAUAUUUUUGAACAAAUAUUUGAAUUACAAACAUGAACUUUUGAAAGUUUAUAUUGAAUAUUGAGUUUCUUACCACUAACACCAUAAAGACGCUUAGUAGUUUUUUCAAAAUAUUUUGUAGGUAUCCAUCCUUCACAGGUAUAAUUUUGAUUCGCUCCUCCAAAAUCAAUAAGGACUCUAGACGUGAAUUUGAAUUCUUUGUUGACUAUAAUAGUCAUAUUGCAGUACCAUUUUUGAAAUUGAAUAUGAUUAACAACAUUAAUCAUUUCUUUUUCAGAUUGAAUAUUUGAAGGAAUGAGAGUAUUUGAUUCUUCACCAGAAGAACUGGAAGAAGAUGAAUAAGGAGUCUUUGAAUUUAACUUCUUAUCUUGAGUUUUGAAAAGAGAAACUUCCAUUCUAACAUCUUUAAUUUGACGUUCAAGAAUAGAAAUUUGAGAUUUUAUGGAAUUGACUUCUGAUUUUAAAUCAGAACUAGAAGAUUUUGAAAUUUCAAAACGAUUUAAAACUUUUUGCAUAUUGAAAUGUUCAGCUUUUGAAUUUGAAGGAAAAAGGGAAUUAAACUUAUUUUUGAGCUCUGGAUCUUCAAUUUGAUCAACAAUCUUUUUAAUAAGUUUUUCUUGUUUAGUAAGAACAUUUAUAGUUUUACAACCACAAAGUUUUUUACUUUGACUUGAAGAGGAUUGAGAGUUUGAACUAGAUUCAACAUCUGAAUCUUCUUGAUGUUCAUAAACAUGUUCCAACUCUGAGUUUAACUCAUUUUCAAAACUGGAAUUUGAAUCAAUAAGAUUGAGAAGUUAAAGCUUAAUAUCUUCAUCAAUUUGAAGAUUAUUAAUCUUGCCUUUGAGAGGAUACUUAUUAGAAUAAUGCCCAGAUUUUUGACAUUUCCAACAAGUAACAUUGCUUUUUUCUUGAAAAUCUUUUCUUUUAAAAUUUCUUUUUGUAAUAAUUUUUUGAAUAAGAAGGUCUUUGAAAAUACUUUUCUUUUGAAUAAACUUUUCUUUUUGAAAAAUCUUUUCUUUUCGUUUUUGAAGGAGGAAUAAUUUUCUCAAAUCCAUAUUGUUCACAAAAUGAUCAAAGUUCUUUGCGACUAAUCUUUCUAUUUGCAAUUUGGAUUUAAGCUUGAGUUCAUUACAGAGAGCUAAUCCUUCUUUGUUAAUGAAGCAAAUCAGUUCUCCGUGUGAAAGAACAUCAUAAGGAAUAUUAUUUGAAUGUUUAUUUUUGAUAGAAUUUUUGACUUUGUCAGAAAAUAAUUUUGGAAGUUCAGAUAAAAAUCUUUAUUUUCAAUAAGUUUGAUUACAAUUUUUUUGUAAAAAUAUACGUGAUAAAAACAUAUCUUCAUACCAACGAAAAUCUUGUAAACUUGAACAAUUUAGAGUUAAUAAAAUACUUGAAAUUUUUUCUAAAACAUCUGUUAGAGAUCCAAUGAAAUGUUUAAUAAUACAAUAAAUUAUUGUAUUAAAACAAUCAUUUGAACCAUUAGGUUUUAGAGCUCGAGUAAUUUGUAGUUUUCUUAUUCAGUAAUAUAAUUGAACCACCAAUUAUUAAUUUGACCAGAAAAUCCUUGAAUAAUAUCAUUUGUUGCCUCAAUUGGAGAAAUUCCUUCUUGAAUAUAGGCGUUAUAACAAGCACCAAUACUUUCAAGAAUUUCAAAAUUUUAAUAUUCAGUUAAACCAUCUAUAUUCCAGAUAGUUAUUCCUGAAUAAAAAAAUGUUGUAGGCAUUUUAGCCUUUUGUUUGAAAAGUAAAUCUAGAGGAGUAAUUUUUUGGAUAAUAAGGAGGAAUUCUUGAAAAUUGAACUUUUUUGUCUUGAAGCUUAUUGAUUUGAGGAACUUCAUCAUCAAUAAAUUGAGAAACAAUCUAUCUUAUUUAACAGUUUUUGUUGUGGUAAAUUGUUAUAAUUUCAUUGAAUUUAAUUAUGUCAUCUUUUUCAAAUUGGUUUCAGAGGUCUAGAAAUAGAUCUGAAAAUGUUUCAAAUAUUUUUCAAAAUGAAGAAGAAAUUGAUCAAUCAUCUGCAUCAUUAGCAUCAAAUGCUUUCAAUAGUCAUGAAUUUCAAAUUGCUCAAAUAGAACGAAGAUUGCAUAACUGGACAAUUCCAAAGGUAAAAAGGAAUUCUAUCUAUGAAAUUGGAAAGUUUGAUUUUACUCAAAAUUAUGUUAUCAAAACUUUUGAACAAACAUUAUCUAUAAAAAAUCAAAAUGCUCAUAUCAAUCUAUUUUCAAAAGAAUCAAUUGAAUCCCACGGGAAGAAAUUUAAAUGUCUUCAUAUUGGAUUAGUUCAAAUUGUUGUCAAACAUUUGUUUAGAUUUUGGUUAGACAUUCCAAUUCUCUUAACUCUUUGAGAUAAGAAUUAUAUAUUCUAAAGUCAAAUCUAGAAAGUGAUCCAAUUUGUUCAAAUUGUUAUCCAAAAUUUUCAAUUAAUCUUAAUGAUGGAGCUAUUCUUAAUGCUCUAAACCUCCAUAUUCAAACCAAAAAUCUCGAUUUCGAUAAUCGUUCAAAUGCUUUUGCUGUAAUAUAUAGGAUAUAUUACGAGCUCAUAAAUACUCAACUCAAUAUUGGUGCUUUACGUUCAUCUCCUAAAAAUGAAAGUCUUUUAAUUGAAUGUAAUCCUUUUCAUUCAAAUACCAUGAUUCCCAAGAGAAUUCCUUGAAAUCUUCAAAAUCGUGGACUAGAAUGAAAUUUUGAAAUGUUCAAAAUCCUAUUCCUGCUCCUUUUCAAACAAUUCCAAACCAAAUUCUUACUUUUCCAGAUGGAAACGUCAAAAUGACUUUCAAAGGAUUUUCCACUAUCAAAGAUCUUAAAAGAUCUGAAGAUAAACCUAGAUCUUCUUAUCAAUCUGUAAGAUUUUCAACAUCUUCUCUUUCAAGUGUUGAUUUUACUCCAAAUAUUCCAAAACCUCAAUAUUUUGAAAGAGAUACAGAAAAAAAAAACACAACAACCUGCUUCUCCAACUUUUUUUGAUAUGUUUUCUACUCAAAGUGAAAGGCUUGAUCAUCAAACUAAUGUUAUUUCUUCUAGGAUUGACAGAAGAAAUGAAUUCAAAAUUGAUCAAACUUCUGAUGUUAAAAGUUUUCGAAAAAUAUUUCAUCAAAGUUUUUCAAAAAAAAGAACAAGAAUCUUAUUGGGAAGAAUUUGAAGAAUUCCAUGAAGAUUUAAGUUUUUAUGAAUGGGUUUAUUUCAAAGUUUUCAAUAAAAAACCUACUUUUUCAAAUAUUUCUUCAAAAUCAAAGAAAGAAAAAUCUAUUCAAAUUACUAAUAUUCCACAGAAGACUACAGAAGACUUGGAAAACUCCUUUUGGGGAGAAUAUUCAAUCUUAUCAUCCUCCUUCUUGCUUCUCCUUUCAAAAAGGUAUCUGAAAAACGACUUGAUGAAUCUCAAGUUAUUGUCAAAGAUAUCAAAAAUAUUCAAGCUCAAAAUAACUACACUAAUGUAGUUCUUCAAUCUAUCUGCUCUCAGUUUAACAGAAUUGAAAUAAAUUCUGAAUCUGAAACAUCAUCCUCUUCAAAAGGUAUUAAGCAAAUAGAGACAAUUUUAAUUAAAAGGCAUGAGGCUAAACCCAAAAUUGGUAUCAAAACUGAGAUUAAUGUUCUAAAAGAACUUGCUACUCAGUUAUCAAAAAUAUCAUCAUCCUCUACCUCAAAUGACAUUAAACUAUUGACGAUAUUGAAUCUCAAUUUAUUAAUGAUAAAGUUCCUCAAAUCAAUAAGCUUCAAGGCAAAAAAAUUUCAAUUUUCAAGAAUUCCUCCUUAUUAUCCAAAAAAUACUCUUCCAUAUUUACUUUUCGAACAAAAGGCAAAAAUGCCUACAACAUUUUUUGGUUCAGGAAUAACUAUCUGGAAUAUAGAUGGUUUAACUGAAUAUCAAAUUUUUGAAAUUCUUGAAAGUAUGGGUGCUUUUUAUAAUGCCUAUAUUCAAGAAAGAAUUUCUCCAAUUGAGGCAACAAACAAUAUUAUUCAAGGAUUUUCUGGUCAAAUUAAUAAUUGGUGGUUCAAUUAUAUUACUGAACAAGAAAAACUGCAAAUUGCUCAAGCUCUAAAACCUGAUAGUUCAAAUGAAUGUUUUAAUACAAUAAUUUAUUGUAUUAUUAAACAUUUCAUAUAUAUAUAUAUAUACAGCAAAUAAGCUUGUGCAAUAUUUCUUAUAGUAUUAGAGUUUAAUACAUAGUUAUCAAAUCGUGGCACCCUUCACCAUUCUUGAAAAGCUUAUGAAUCUCCCUUUCAGACUUUAAUAAUUCUAAGAAUCAAGAAAUCAAGAUUCAGUAAUUAUUAUGCUAUUUUAUUAAGAAUCUCGGGUUUUUUUGUCAGGAAUUUACUUAACAUGCUUGCGAAAUUUAAACAAAUAUUUCAAUUCCCACAAAGGAUCUUCUUUUGUUAGAAAGAAACUGCAAUAAGAAUUAUACCUUUGUUGAAUUCUACUAAUUCCUUUGCUUACCUUGAACAUGAACCAUCACGAUUUGCAAUCCACCACUUUUCAAUUAUCCAACCUCCAAUGAAAAUCAGCACAAAGAACAAGAUUAGAGAAUUAAGGUUUCUCUUUUUUUGCACUAGCAAAAUAAUAAUUGGGUUGUAUGAUUUCUCAAACCCUAAUAUCUUAUUAAUGGAAGUCCAAAUGGGCUUGGAAUUAAACUUAAUCACGAUUAAUUAUUCUAAUUAAUUAAACAUGACCUAUAGCUCAAUUAAUUAAUUGUUGAACAUUUGUAAAUUAAUUAACUAAUAUUUUUAUUCUUUUAACUCUCAUUUUUUAUAUGAUCCAUUAGAUUUCCAACCAUGAUGCCCAGUGACUUAAAUUAUUAUUUCGAUCUAAUUAAAAUAACAUAAAUUAAAAUACCCCUUUUGUAAUUUAUUACUAAUAUACAUCUUUUGUCUCAUAUUGACAUCUAUAAAUGUGUCAAAAUUAUACAGAAUCCUCAAAAUUUUGGUAACAUAUGACAUGUAAAAAAAUUGGCAUCCAAAAUGGAGUUGAUAUUUGUAAAACAUGUUGCAAUUAUAGUGGCAAAGAUUAAUUGGAAGUCCGGUUUCAAGCACAACGCAUUUGAACAUGCACAUAUUAAAGAGUUGCAAAGCGAGACUAAUCGAUCUCGACCUGAAACAAAUCAAAUUAGUGUUUGUCGAUUCUGAUUUUACUCUUUUUACCUUUGUAUAUUCACAGAAAAGAUUUUGUGAAGGAAUAGCUGCAUCAGAGAUGCCACUUAUGAUGAUAAACUUAAUACACUUUUCUCGGCUCGUGCAGAAUUAUCUCCAACACAUGUAUACUUCUUAAUGUAUACAUACUCUUCGUUCAGAUACUGUGAUAUUAUUUAAUAAAAGAAAACAAGUUUCUUUACUACAAUUUUGAAAUGUUAUAUAUAUUAUUACUUUCAUUGUCCUUGAAUUAGAAGUAGAGGAAAAAAGGGAAUUAGUGAGGCAUAUAUAUUUAAAGCCAAAAAGCAGUAGUUAAACAGUCAUUUUGAUAGCUUUAGAAACAUCAUGGUUUAUAAAUGAUGUCAAAAUUUUAUACUGAAUAAUAGACAGUUGCAUAUAGAAGAGUGUAUUUAUAUUGAAAUUUUAGAGAAAGAGAGACAGUAGCAUUCAGAAGAGUGUAUAUUGAAAGAGCCAGUCUUCAAGUACAGAAGAAAUAGCUACAGAACAUUCGCAGCACACACACAUGCAAUUGGGGGGUGGUUUUUUUUUUUUUUUAAUAUAAAACUCACAUGGGCUCACCCGAUGUGAGAUUUCUGUUUUUCUUCUGACAAUGAAUAGUUCUGUACAAACAGAAUUAUUCAAAUUUGAGAGAGAGGGGGGGCCCUCAGCUCUUAUGUGUCCUAGUAAAGUCCGACGAUUGAGAACUUGAAAGAGAACAGUCAAAAAAGCAUAAUCAAAACGACUGUAGAAACUUAAAGAAGAGCAGUCCAGUGUGCAUCACUUCCUCUUCUGUCUUUUUGACAUUUGCCUCCUCUUUAUUCACUUUACACUUGGCAUAAAUUUAAAUAAAUAAAACCUGAUUAAGUAACCAUAUAUGGAGACUGUUUUAUAUAAAUUUUUUGAGAACAAAUUUAUCAAAAAUAAUUUAUAAUUCCUACAUAUAAAAAAUUACACUUCAAAAUUACAAACUUGUCAAAUUAUUUCAAAAUUUAGGUAUUAAUUCCAAAUAAUAAUAUAAAUAUAUAUAAUUGGAAUUAAUUAUUUCCAGACAAUAAAUAAUAUCUCCACCCUACCCAUCCUCUACCAAAUUAAUAAUAUAUCAAUUAAUGAUAUCUCAUGAAACCUGUGGACCCACCCGCACCCCAUCUACCCUCUGUAAGAAAUUUUCAAAAAUUGAAUUUUUUUUUUUUUGGAGAUUACAUCUCCACCCCACCUUGAGGACCACACCAUACUCCACCCAACCCACACUACCCCACUCCAUGGAAUUAUCUCAAAUUGUAACUAGUUGUUUUAUCUGUGAUUAGAUUUUAUUUAUUUAUUUUUUUUUUUUUUGUGACCAGAGCUAUAUUAUGUAACUAACAGUGACCAAAUUUGUCUUUAAUGUGAUUAUAUGUGACCAUAUAAUUUGUGAUUGUAUGUAGUCAAAUUACUAACCUGUGUCAUAUAUAACUUAAUUGUGACCAAAUUGUCUUCGGUGGAUUGUCUAAUUUGUGACUGUAUGUAACCCAGUCAUUAACCUGUGUUAUCUAUGACUAAUCGUGACUAACUAUGACCAAAUUGUCUUUAGUGCGGCUAUCUGUAACCAGGCCCAGCAAUGUGCUCACACUGCGCUGCAACUUUGUGCUUACAUCAUCUCAGAUCAAUGUUGAAGCAGCGAGGAAGAGAAAGACGAUGGCUUCACAACAUCACAGAUCGAAAGUAAUAGUGCUCAUAUUGACAUAGUGGUGACAUCGUGGCAAUGGCAUCAUCAUCAUUGAGCACCAUAUCAUAACGUGAAGAAAGAUGGUAGAGAGUUAAGAGAUAUGGUGAAGAGAGAGAGAUGAAAUUUGAAGGUGCCGAGAAUUGAAAUUUGGGGUGGGGUUCUGUUUGCUAUAAUAAAUUUGUAUUAACGCCUAAUUUAUGAAUUUAAAAUUAAUCUCCUUAUUUAUGAAAAUUAGUCUUCAAAUUUAGGUUUCUAGACAAUUUUCCCUUCUAGAAGAGGAUAGGUGUUGUUUGGGCUUGGUAAUGGUAGUGUUGUGCUAAGAUGUGUUGGGUUGGGCUUGUUGUAAUGGAAGAAUGUGUUUAGGGCUCUUUGGUUAGAGGGCUUCGAUUUGGUUGGGUAAAUAUUGGAUGUGGUCAGUGGGCUGGGUUUAUUGGAUGUUGGUUGUAGCUGUAACAAGUAAAGCAGCAAUUCUGUAAUUGAAUUUCUCGAUUUGUUUUUUAUUUUUUUGAAGGAACUAGAAAUAGCAAAUUGCAAUUUUAGCCCAGUUUGACAAUCAUUAUAUUUAAAUUCUUUUUUUAUAUACUCAUUUUCAAGCACACAUUCGUAUAAUAAAAUAUUUUGCAAGUAAAUUUAAAAAAAUUUCCUACUUUUUAACUGUGAAUUCUCUUAAAAAACAUUAUUUGAAACUUAGUUUUUCCAAAACAAUGGUUAUCAAACCUGUGCUUAAUAUAAAGAGCAAAGGCGGUGAAAGAGUUUCACCAAUUUUAGAAAUAGUUAACUUGCUUUGCAUUUAUUAUAAGCAAAUCUUCACUUUUUGUUAAAAUUAUAAUUAAAUUAUGGUAGAGUAUGCGAGAAUACUUUAAAAUGUGGUGCAAAUUUUUUAAUUGGCAUCUAUUCUAAGCAAAUCACUACUUUUGAAUAAAGUUAUAGGAUAUGAGAGAAUACUUUAAAAAUAUUAUUCUAAUUUUUAAUUGACGUUUAUUCUAAGCAAAUUACUACUUUUCGUUAAAAGUUAUUCUUAAAUUCUAUGAUAGAAUAUAUUAGAAUACUUUAAAAUGAUAUGCUAGUUCCAAAUGCCACUGCUUUUGAAAUUCUAAAUCUUCAAGUUACAUUAUUUGAUUGCUUUUAAUUGACCAAACUAUGUCUUUUCUUGGGUGCCAAAUUCUUAGAAAUAUCUCAGAGAAUCUUUAAUCUUUAUGGAUUCUCUCCUUGUCUCCUUAAUGUGAUACAAGGUUUCAAUGCCAAUGGAAUCAUCAACUAGUUGCAUUCAUGCCAUUUCUUCUGACUUGAUGAAGUUUAUGAAUAUUAUGGUUUUUCUAAUACUAGCUGAUAACUAAUAAAAGAAACAGAAUUAAAAAAUAUUACGAAAAUGAAAAAGUGUUGGGUGUAUUUCUAGAUAUGUGAAGGAAUAUUGUCAAAGUGGAUUACAACAAUCGGGGCCAGAAUCAACACAUGAAUUUGUUCUUCCCAAAUUUCCUCUAUUUUCUAUUCAAGAUAUGAGUUUAAGUUUGAUACGAUUCCCACUUCCCAUGUGGCUGGUGCAUGAGCUGCAAUUCAGACUUUAAAAAUUAUAAGCAUAAAAAGAACACAAUUUAGUAAUUUAUGCAGUUUUGAUUAGGAAUCUUGAGUAGUUCAAUUUGAACCUAUGCAAAGUUAAAUAAGUAGUAAUUUUUAUUUAUUAUUUAUUUAUUAUUAUUAUUUUUAUUUUUUUUUUGCAUAUAUUCUGAGCAACUUUUGGUUGAAGUUAUAAUUAAAAGUUUGUAGUAGGGUAUACAAGAAUAUUUUAAAAUGUGAUGCUAAUCUUUUAAUUUUUCUCUGUUUUAAGCAUAUGUUCAACUUUGGUUAAAGUUAUACAUAAAUUUUGUGUGGUAGGUUAUACGAGAAUACUUUAUAUCGUGAUGUUAAUCUUUUACUAUGCAUUUAUCUAAGCAAAAUUUCAUUUUUUUUAAUUAAUGUUAUACUUAAAAGUUUAUGAUAAGGAACACAAGAAUAAUUUAAAAUGUGAUACUGAUUUUUUAAUUUGCAUUUAUUCUAAGCAAAUCUUUGCUUUUGGUUAAAGUUCUACAUGAAAAACAAUGAUAGGAGAUAUGAGAAUACAUUAAGCCCCUAUUUGGUGGUCAUUACUUUCAAAAAACAAUCAUUUAAAUGGUAAUUUUUAAGAGAAUGUAUGGUUAAAAAAUAAGAAAACAUUUCGGGUUUAUGAUACAGGAAAAUCACAGCAAACAAACUGAUUCUUAAAAAAAAAAUGACAGAUACCAGAUAUUAGUUAUGACCACUCAUAGACAAUUGCCUCAAAGUAUAGAGUAGGAUUAAGGCUCACCACUUCAAGGAAAGGGCUAGAGAUCCAGAACACUCAAAGAAGAAAACUCUUCUAAAAAAAACAACCAAGUCUUUAACUUUUUAUUCUCCAAACAUGAAUCAUUCAAAGAUAAAAUAGGGCCUGUCUUUAUAGGCAAAUAAAAUUAAACACAGUUAUCUCCUAAACUUAGAAUGUAAUAUUUUAAACUUAGAAAGAAAAAUAAUACUAAACUUGGAGAUAAGAAAAUCCCAGAAUUGGUUGUUCAAUAUUCUUCUUUAUCCUGUCUCGAAUCCUUCCUUAAUUGCCUCUUUGACACUCGUGUCAGUUUACAUGUAAAAUAUUUUAUUAUAUAAAUGUAUAGUUGAAAAUGAGUAUGUAAAAAAAAGAGUUUGAAAAUAACGGUUGUCAAACAAGGGGUAAAAUGUGAUGCCAAGUUUUUUAAUUUGCAUCUAUUCUAAGCAAAUCUUCACAUUUGGUUAAAGUUAUUAAAAUCCUAUGGUAAGGUUAAAGAGAAUACUUUAAAAUGUAAUGUUAAAAUUCUUUAAAUAUGCGCCGAUUCUAAGCAAAAUCUUCACUUUUGGUUUUAGUUAACUAUGUUAGAUAAUUUAAUGCUUUAAAUUACAGGAUCUUUCAUGUUAAAUCAUCGAGAAAUGUAAGAAUUAAAGCGGAAGCAUACCUGAAUCAGACAUGGUUAAUGCAAUAUGAAUUUCGCGGUAUGAUAUUCCAAAUCUACACGCAGUCUCCUUUUUCUCUCUAUGAUGGGAUGCAGUAGAGAAUGAAUAAUACGUUGCAUGUGAUCUGGGGACCAUAACCUAUUUAUAUAGGGAUGCCCUUUGACUUAAUUCGGCUCAUCAUAGAAUUAGGAUUUGGGCUCGGUCUCUACACAUAUGUAAAUCCAUACUUUAACUGGAUACAUUAAAGCCCAAAAUCGAAACCUCAUUAGAUUAUUUUAAUUGGGCUCAACCGAAUUCGAUAGCCUAUAAUUUAACACACAAUUAUUCACACAUACAAACCCAUCUUUAAUUAAAAAUUCUUACAAACUAUACUUAAAUUCUAUGGUAGGAUUUACGAUAAUACUUUAAAAUGUGAUGCUAACUCCAUUUUUUUUUUUAAUAUGCAUUCUAUGCAAAUCGAUACUUUUAGUUAUAGUUAUAAUAAAUUAUAUGUUAGUGGUUACAAGAAUACUUUAAAAUAUGAAGUUAAUUUUUUAAUUUGGGUUUAUUCUAAGCAAAUCUUUACUUUUGGUUAAAAAUAUACUUAAAAUUCUAUGGUAGCGUAUAUGAGAAUACUUUAAAAUGUGAUGCUAACUCCAUUUUUUUUUUUAAUAUGCAUUCUAUGCAAAUCGAUACUUUUAGUUAUAGUUAUAAUAAAUUAUAUGUUAGUGGUUACAAGAAUACUUUAAAAUAUGAAGUUAAUUUUUUAAUUUGGGUUUAUUCUAAGCAAAUCUUUACUUUUGGUUAAAAAUAUACUUAAAAUUCUAUGGUAGCGUAUAUGAGAAUACUUUAAAAUGUGAUGCUAACUCCAUUUUUUUUUUUAAUAUGCAUUCUAUGCAAAUCGAUACUUUUAGUUAUAGUUAUAAUAAAUUAUAUGUUAGUGGUUACAAGAAUACUUUAAAAUAUGAAGUUAAUUUUUUAAUUUGGGUUUAUUCUAAGCAAAUCUUCACUUUUAGUUAAAGUUAUACUUAAAUUCUAUGGUGGGUAUAUGAGAAUACUUUGAAAUGUAAUGCAAAUUUUUUAAUUUGCAUUUAUUCUAAGCAUAUCAUCACUUUUGAUUAAAGUUAUACUUAAAUUUUACGGUGGUUAUACGAGAAUACUUUGAAAUGUGAUGUUAAUUCUUCGAUUUGCAUCUAUUCUAAGCAAAUUCACUUUUAAUUCUAAGAUGGCUUUAAAAUGAAAUGCUAAUUCCAAAUACCGCCCCUUUUAAAUUUCUAAAUAUUCACUUUGCAUUAUUAAUUACGUCUUUUCUAGGGUACCAGAUUCCAAGAAAUGUCUCAAAGCAUCUUUACUCUGUAUGGAUUCUGUUAAGAUUUGAGGUCCAUCUUAAUAAGGUCAACCUUAUUAAGAGGAGUGUCCCAAUUCUUUAUAUAUUGGUCAUUAUUUCGAUAUUUUACCGAUGUGGGAUUAUAUUCCCUUAACAUGCCCCCGCAAGAUGGUGGCUCAUUUGAGCAGACCAAUCUUGAAAUCCGUGUGCUCAUUUUUAGAGACUUAAUCGGAUCGAAUCGCUCGUUGGGGCUUAAUGGGCUCUGAUACCAUGUUAAAGUUUGGGGUCCAUCUUAAUAAGGUCAACCUUAUUAAGUGGAGAAGUCCAAUCCUUUAUAAAUAGGUAUUUAUUUUCAUCAUUAUUCAAUGUGGGAUAUAAUACCUUAAUAGACCCCCUCAAGAUGGUGUGAUAAGAUGAUGGCUCAUUUGAUCACACCAAUCUUGAAAUUUAUGGGUUGACUCACCUUAUUAAGAUGGACCCCAAAUCUUAACAGAUUCUCUCCUUGUCUCCUUAAUGGGAUACAAGGUUUCAAUGCGAAGGGAGACUUGAUGAAGUUUAUAAAUGCUGUGAGGACCAUCAAUCUGCUAGCAUAACUUGCAAACUAGAAAAUUUGAUAAAAAGAAGUGAAAUGGCCGACGUGGUAAUUUCUUUUGCUGUACGAAACACACUACCAAUACUACAGGAAAAGCUGCGAGAGGCGGGAGAAGCUGAGGCCGAGGUUGAGAACAUCAGAUAUGAGUUGGAUCGAAUGACGGCAUUUCUCAAAGAUGCUGAUAGUGUCAUGGGGGAUAGGGACGAGAGGAAGGAAAAUUGGGUCAAAGAAGUUCGCAAUGUUGCAUACGACACUGAAGAUGUUCUCGACAGAUUUGUACUCGUGAUGAAGAAAAAUAAGGGCAGUGGGUGGUCCAAUACUGUUCAUAAUUUUUUAAAUUGCGCCCUAAAUAUAAGAUUCCUUUCUGAGAUUUUUUCUGAUAUCAAAAGCAUUAAUACUCGUGUCAACAGUAUUAAAGACGGAUGUCAGAGAUAUAUUGAUCUUCCAGGAGGUUCAAAUUCAAAUGUUGAUGCCAGCAUUGACCUUGCAAAUGAUACUAGAUGUGAUGCCCUUUGGGAAGAAGCUGAUCUUGUGGGAAUUGAGGGACCUAAAAGCGAGUUAAUGAGAUUGGUCAUGGAAGGUGGUUUAGAUCUGCGUGUAAUUUCAGUGGUAGGAACGGUAGGUGUGGGGAAAUCAGCUCUUGUUAAGAAAGUGUAUGAUGAUCCAGCAGUGAAGAAGAGCUUCAAAAGUCACGCUUGCGUAGCUGUCCCUCAAGCCCUUUCCGACAAAACAAAUAUUGAAGAGCUUUUAGAGGACUUGGUUAAGCAACUCUAUCGUGAAACCAAGGGAGCAGUCCCUCCUGAAAUGAACACCAAGAAUAAAAAUCAUCUGAAGGCGGGGAUUUACCGAUUCUUACGAAAAACAAGGUAUGUGAUUGUAUUUGACGAUGUACGGAGCACCCUAGAAUGGGACGCUAUUAAAAGUGCAUUUCCUGACAACUCUAAUGGCAGUCGUUUAAUUGUAACAACACGUGAUAAUGCUGUAGCUUCCUAUUCUAGUGAAAUGGAAGAGAAUAUAUAUAGGCUGCAUCCCCUGACUCAAGAGCAAUCUUUGACACUGUUUUGUCAAAAGGCGUUUCAAGGGAGACCGUGUCCUUCCAAUCUGGAGGAAAUUACUAAUAAUAUCUUAGAGAGAUGUGGUGGGCUGCCGCUUGCUAUCAAGUCUGUUGGUGGAACUCUGGCCACAAAGAGCAGCAGAUCGGAAUGGGAGACGGUUUAUCAAAGUCUUGGAGCUGAAAUGGAAGGCACUAAAACACUUAAUACGAUCUUGCUGCUUAGCUUCAAUGAUUUGCCUUACCAUCUAAAAUACUGUUUGUUAUAUAUGGCCAUAUAUCCAGAAUAUUACUUGAUAAAGUAUAACUCCUUGAUUCGCCUAUGGAUAGUGGAAGGUUUCGUGAAUGAAAAAGGAGGACAAACAGUGGAACAAGUUGCUCAAGGCUACCUAAAGGAACUUGCCAACAAAAACUUGAUCCGAGUGGUGAAGCGUAAAGAGAAUGGAAACAUAAAAUCUUGCCGCAUAAAUUACUUUCUCAGGGGGAAUCUUCUAGAAAGAGCAAAACGUCAGAGUUUCUUGAUGACAGUCGGCAAAAAUUCCAAUGGUCUAUGGGACAAAAACGCUCGUCGGUUAGCAAUCCAUGGCCAUUGGGAAAACUUUAAUCCUCAA